rnacentral:lncRNA from 1 species
GAGGGUGACCAGGGUUGUGACCAUAAUGUGGUGGCUUCUCUCCCUUAGGUGGUUUGCCAACUGGGGUUGGUGGCUUGUAUGAGUCUUCAGCAUUCUCAGCAGGAGGGUGACCAGGGUUGUGACCAUAAUGUGGUGGCUUCUCUCCCUUAGGUGGUUUGCCAACUGGGGUUGGUGGCUUGUGUUCUGGGAGUGGCUUCUCCCCCUUGGGAGGUUUUUCCAAUGGGGUUGGUUUGUGUUCAGGAGGUGGCUUCUCCACUGGAGGCUUGUGUUCAGGAGGUGGCUUCUCCACCGGAGGCUUGUGUUCAGGUGGUGGCUUCUCCACCGGAGGCUUAUGCUCUGGUGGUGGCUUCUCGAAUGGGGGAUGCUUAGGAUAAUCAGCAAGUGAGGGGGCGGUGAGAACCACCAGGCCAAGCAACACCACUAGCAAAUAUGUAGGAGACAUCUUUGGGUUUGGGCUCAGAUGGUGCAAAACUAGGAGAAUUGGCUAGCCUUUUAUAGCGGAUCGUACCCAAUAAUGAAAUGACACGUGUCAUUAUGACCCAUGUGUAAUGGGGUCGAUUUGGGUCCUACAGUGUUGAAAACUUCGACAUCCACUUUUGGCCUUUUGCUUUCUCUACAGCCGCCUUGCUUUUUCCCUCUUUCCUUUUGUUUUCCUCCUGCCCCAUUCUAUCAACUAAACACAAUUAUGUAGUUGUUUAAUUCUUAAAUGAGAUAUUAUCCGUCAAUCGUAUUAUAUUUUAUCAAGAGAGAACGGAGUGCAAUGUGGCUGUAAUUUUAUCGUUUAGUUUUAUCUCUUGGACCACUGCAUUUUUGUUAAGAGGUGCAAUAAUACACGUCUUUAUCUGCCAUUCAAUAUUUACAGUAAAGAGAGGGCACAAAACUCUUCACUUCGCACCAUAAUUAUUUUGUUUUCUGGACACCCCGGGGCCCUUUGGUUGGUUUGGGGGUCAGAAAGUGAACAUCAUAGGGGGUUUUUCCCUUAUGUGCAUUUGUAUCUGAUGGCUUUAACUCGCCUUGUUACUACAAAGAAACUGUCACAGAUAGGAACUUAUUCCAGGCUGAGUAUCUCCUCAUAGACCCUAUAAAAGAAGACAAGUCAUAAUGAACAUCUAACCUUUGUUCAAUUUGAUUCAAUGCCCCCAUUGUGUCCAUCUCACAAAUCUGAAUUAUUAUAUCCAUUGAAUACAUAAAUUAAUGAAGAAAAUAUGAAACCCAAGAUACAUCUCUGCACAACCUCAACCCUGGUUGCUAUGUUUCCCUUCUAUUCACAUGAUUUGAUGCUAAUUGCCAAACUUGCAACAAGCCCUGAGUUUGACACCUAGUAUCGAUGGGCGAAUUUAAAGUCUCCUCCAAACAUAUAUUCCACAGCUUGAAGCUCACAGAAGAUGUUACAGGCAGGGAAAAACCUUCAGAGUUCGCUACCAAAGAUAAUUAUUAAGGAGAUAUCACAAAGAGAAUUCCAAGGGGUCUGAAUCAAAGACAAAUUGGUCGUUCGUGGGGGUUCUUACUUUCUUUUGGGUAUAACUCACUGAGGGCACUGUCUUUGUUAUUUGCAUUUCACAUUUAGAGUUCUGUUCUGGAAACAUAUAAAAGGAGCAUCAUUUUGUUCUUGGGUAACCCAUAGUCGUGAGUGGGUCCAUUUGCAUGCUACUUAGUUGAAAAGUUGGACCAUUUGCUCCGACGCCUACCUCCCGGAUUCCAUGCUCGGAUAAAACAAGAAUAAAAAAAAUAUUUAUAAUUUACAAAUGGGGGAAAGAAAAAAAUGUCAACAACAAACCAGGAAAAAAGAGUAGUAAAAUUCAUGUCACAUGCUAGUGAGAGAAGGGGUUGUUACACUCACUCGAAGUUCUUUCCAAAAUAUCGCAUGGUAUUUUAUUUUAUGUGUCAGCGCAGUUGUGAAUGGAACGUGCAAAAGUCCAAAUUGGCGUUUUUCCUUUUCCCGUGUAGGAUGGCGACCUUUAAUAAAUAUUUAAAACAAAAAACGAAAAAAAGGAGGGAAAAGGGAUCAGAAAAGAUAAAACAAUGUGUACAAGAGCUCAAUUAGUUUGCAAAUUACUGUUUGGAUUUUGAUAGUAUUUUAUUUGUCCAUCUAUAUUUGAUGGAAAAGAGAAUUUAAGAUAUUUCUGAAACAAAAGCAUUAGUGUAAAACUAAAUUAAGGUAUAAUUAAGUUAGUUCAAUGCAUUAAUUUAAGAAACUUGAUCUAUCCAAAGUACAAAAUUAGAUGAAAUCCAUUUCAAUGGUUAAAAUGAUCAAAAUCAAACUUUUUCUAAGUAUUUUUUAAAAGCAUCAAUAUUAAAAGACAAUUUUAUAUUUAGUCGGAGUUUGGACAAAACCAAAAAGCACACAAAAUCCAAGCGACCAUCUCUAGCUUGGAUAGUCACUUGAUCCCACCUAGAGAUGUGCAUGAGUAAAAGGAUUUGAAAAUGGAAAUUGACUAAAUAUUUAGUUGAUCAAUUAAAUUUGCAAUGUCAUAUGCAAUCCUAAUAGCUAGUCAUCUAAUCAAUUAGGUAGUCAAUCAAGUGUUUGUAAUGACUAUUUUGUACAAAAAACCACAUGUAUAGUUAAAUAUAAUGCAUUUCAUUUAUAAAUCUUCUAAUUCUUGAAUAACGAUCCUAUCAUCCUUUGAAAAUUUUUAUUACACCUUUUUUACUUUUGUUCUAAAACUUACAUAUCACCCUUAAUUGUACCAUGAGAACCUAGCUAUUUUUUUUUUUUUUGUAAUUCAUCAAAGUUAGCUUUUGUAUUCAUUGUUGUAUUAUUUUUAGUAUAACUUAGAAAGCUAGUGUUUUCAAGUGAGUAAAAUUAACUUGUAAAUAUUGUAAAGAUUCAUUGAUAUGUAUCUUAAACUAAGUGUACAAAUUAAAACAUUUGCUAGUAGAUUUUCUCAAAAUUUAGAAUAGAGCUUGAGGCUAUUGAAAUAGGUGGGGUUACACCAAACCACAUCACAUCGUUGUUUGCACCUUUUUUCACUCUCUUUUACUUAGUUUCUCUAUAUUUGUUGUCUAGUAAUAUCCUAUAGGCUUGAUGGGUUAGGGAGCAUCCCUUUGUGAAAAAAUUUCAUUCAAUUCUUAGUUGUAUUACGCAUAUAUAAAAUGCCUCAUUGUUUUAAUGGUAUUCAGUCGUGGCAUCACAGAUAUGGGCAUCUAAAUUUUAAAAGUUUGAAACUUUUGUAAAGCAUGUUGAUAAAAUCCAUGAGAGUUGUGUACUUGGGAAGCAACAUCGAGGUGACUUUAUUUUUUUUUCCUUUUAUAAUGCCACACCUAAGUCCGGUUUCUAAAUGCUAAAGUGAAAGGGUAGGUAUGGACCAUUGAAAUGUGAUCACAACUUUUGGCCUUUUCCUUUCUCUGCAGCCAUGUUGUCUCUUUUUUCUUUUGCAUGAUUUUCUUACCAAAACAGAAUCAUAGACUUGUUUAGUCUCUAAGCUACUAUAUUAUAUCUCGGUGGACUUUUAAGAGUGCAACCGACAUAGAGCACAUGCAAGUGGGCAUAUGGGACAUGAAAUUUCUUCUUACAAAGAUUGCAUGAUUUUUAUAUUAGAGUUGUUCACGUGCAAUGUAUUUAGCUUGUUUUGCAGUUAAAUUAAUUGGAUAAGUAAACAUUGGCAUUUCUAAAUCGACUGUGAAGUGCUUCAUGUACGUGUAAAGUAUUAGAAAUUUCUUUCUUGGCAACUUGUUUUUUCCUUGCCAUCUACUGGUAGGUUUGACUAAAAUUAUAUUCCCUGUCAUGCUAAUUAAUUUUCAUGUGCAUGCUCAAAAGAAGAGUAUGACCUUAGUGCACCAAAAUCACUUUGAUUAAUUUGUGAUAGGUUUUUUUGCAUCAUUUAGAUAAUGUUUAGUUCUAAGAAAAAUUUAUAUAAAAAUGGUUUAUUUAUCUUACAUAUAUAUAUAUAUAUAUAUAUUUUUUUUUUUUUCAUUUUUUUUUCUUCUAUUUUAUUUAUUUAUUUUAUUUUCCUUAUGUUUUCCUCACAUUUUCCGGAACUAAACAUAGUCUUACGAAAUCAACAAUUGCCUUCAACUGAGUAGAUUCUGUUGUUUUAGCAAUGUUAGGCUGCUAACUUGUGGUGGUACGAACCAAAUGACCCAUGUUAAUCUUGGCUUGGUUUGAUUUGGCUCUAUCUCAGAGAGCUAAAGGAUCACGUCAACUCUGGUUUCUACUAUUCAGGUCCAUUCCCAGAUGAACUGGUUCAAAUUUGAGAAAAUGGUAACAGACCUUUAGUGAUGUUGGUUUGGAGCCAGUUGCCAAACCCGCCCUGAGCUUUACCACUAAUGUCAAGGGAGAAAGCCAUUUGAACAAAAACAAUAGCUUCAAGAGACUGAAUCGUGGAUGAAAUCUGAUCCACAUUUCUUCUCAUUUUGGGAAAAAAUGAGAACUUAACUACAAAGAUUCUACUGCCUCAUUCAUAGUGCUUUUCCUGAUCCAAGGUUGGUUCGUUUCCCAAAUUGUGAGGUGCACGUGCCACUCUCACGCUCAGGAGUGUAUCCACGUGGUGGACAUCAGAUGGUGGCUUAAUAUCUGGUGUCGGUGGCUUUACUUUACUAGGAGAGUAGUGUGUCUUCAUCUCAUUCACUGCCGGAGGGUGGCGUAAGCAGUGACGCUAAGGUGGGGCACAGUCAAUAUCAUUUGCAUUUGACCAUUAUAGUUUUCUCCCGGCUUGAAAGUAACCUUAUCGUGAUAAAGGAUUACUAGCACUAGUUCAGAUGACCGUCAUGUUAAUUCGGACCAUGUUUGUGUCACAUUAUCAGCAACCAUGUGUUUAUGGUUCAUGCUAUCUGCAACUAAACUUGAUAUAUAACCAGGUGAACUUCAAUCAAAAUUCUGGAAGUACUCUUGUGAUAGAUGGUGCCUGUCUGCAGAGUCCAUCAAUUGAAAAAUGGAGUGAGUGUAUCUAUAAGAGGGAAGGCUUGGCAAAUGUUCAGUUUUCUGGGAAUUCAACAAGGAUCUAAAAUAGAUUGUUUUCUUUGCCGACUUCAAUGGUUGAAAUUUGAGAAGAUUGUGUCCACAUAUCACAACUAUUACUGGUCCUUCUGUUGCAAUUUAUCCUGUAAGGCUCUAACAUGUCUUCCAAUUCCCACUUCCCUGUUACUCCAGGAAAGCUAUUUCUGUCAUUGUGAAGAAGAAAAGAGAAUGUACAUAUCGAUGCUUUUAAGUGACUGGAGCAUUCAUAUCAGGUGGUCUGCAGCCAUAUAUGCCACUUUGUGAAGGUUGGAACAGUCAAUCACUAGGCUAUAUAUUGGUGUGGCCCAGCCACUUCAAUCAAGGACAAGUCUUCAUACUUAAAGUCAAAUUCUGCCUUUAGUCUCAUUAUAAAUUGCUGUUUAAAUAUUAAGCAAACUUUUGUUUAAUGCGAUUAAGACAGUACUAACUCAAUACUUGUUCUAUUUUUGGAUGCAAAUGCUUGAUGGUUUCAUCAUUGGAUGGGAUAAAGGUGCAUUCAUGAUUAUGAAUACUUGUAGUUAUAUUUUCAUUCUCUUUUUUCUCAAUGAGACUUGUUGGCACAAUGUUGCUGUUCAGAAACCUACCUCUCCAUGGAAAAUAAGUUGCGAUUGAUAGUACUGGAUAUGUUCAAGAAAGCUAAAUAUAGAUAGCACAAAAUAUUAUCGAUAUAAAUAGCAUUAACAGCGUACGUAUGUCUCAAUGCUCAUCAGCUAUAAGCAUGGGACAAACACUUACUAUGAGCAACUUACGUCAAAAUUCCAGAAUAGGACAUAGAAGUGACAGAUCUAUAUAUAUAGAACACUGCAUAUGAGUCACAAGAAAGGAAAUUACGGGUGCAUAGCAGCUCUUAUUUUACAUACUACUACUCAUACUGAUCAAAGUCACUCAGUUGGGAUGGGUGGGAGUAGGAGGUUUGUGGGGUGGCUUGUGCGGAGGAGUUGGCAGCUUCUUUCCAGGACCUGGUUGCUUCUCUGCUGGAGUUGAAGGAGGCUUAAUCUUCCGAGGUGGCUUGUAUGAGUCUUCAGCAUUCUCAGCUGGAGGGUGACCAGGGUUGUGACCAUAAUGUGGUGGCUUCUCUCCCUUAGGUGGUUUGCCAACUGGGGUUGGUGGCUUGUAUGAGUCUUCAGCAUUCUCAGCAGGAGGGUGACCAGGGUUGUGACCAUAAUGUGGUGGCUUCUCUCCCUUAGGUGGUUUGCCAACUGGGGUUGGUGGCUUGUGUUCUGGGAGUGGCUUCUCCCCCUUGGGAGGUUUUUCCAAUGGGGUUGGUUUGUGUUCAGGAGGUGGCUUCUCCACUGGAGGCUUGUGUUCAGGAGGUGGCUUCUCCACCGGUGGCUUGUGUUCAGGAGGUGGCUUCUCCACCGGAGGCUUAUGCUCUGGUGGUGGCUUCUCCACCGGAGGCUUAUGCUCUGGUGGUGGCUUCUUGAAUGGGGGAUGCUGAGGGUAAUCAGCAAGUGAGGGGGCGGUGAGAACCACCAGGCCAAGCAACACCACUAGCAAAUAUGUAGGAGACAUCUUUGGGUUUGGGCUCAGAUGGUGCAAAACUAGGAGAAUUGGCUAGCCUUUUAUAGCGGAUCGUACUCAAUAAUGAAAUGACACGUGUCAUUAUGACCCAUGUGUAAUGGGGUCGAUUUGGGUCCUACAGUGUUGAAAACUUCGACAUCCAGUUUUGGCCUUUUGCUUUCUCUACAGCCGCCUUGCUUUUUCCCUCUUUCCUUUUGUUUUCCUCCUGCCCCAUUCUAUCAACUAAACACAAUUAUGUAGUUGUUUAAUUCUUAAAUGAGAUAUUAUCGGUCAAUCGUAUUAUAUUUUAUCAAGAGAGAACGGAGUGCAAUGCAGCUGUAAUUUUAUCGUUUACUUUUAUCUCUUGGACCACUGCAUUUUUGUUAAGAGGUGCAAUAAUACACGUCUUUAUCUGCCAUUCAAUGUUUACAGUAAAGAGAGGGCACAAAACUCUUCACUGCUCUGCAUGUGUCCCAAAAAUGCGAUUGGACAAAUUAUGAUUUGCAUGCUAAAAAGAGGCAAAUGAGGUUAAUUCGCACCAUAAUUAUUUGGUUUUCUGGACACCAUAAAAAGAUGUUAUACAGGCAGGGAAAAACCUUCAGAGUUAGCUACCAAAGAUAAUUAUCAAGCAGAUAUCACCAAGAGAAUUCCAUAGAGUCUGAAUCAAAGACAGAUUGCUCGCUCGUGGGGGUUCUUACUUUCUUUUGGGUAUAACUCACUGAGGUCACUGUCUUUUUUAUUUGCAUUUCACAGUUAGAGUUCUGCUCUGGAAGGUUUGUUCUGGAAACAUAUAAAAGGAGCAUCAUUUUGUUCUUGGGUAACCCAUAGUCGUGAGUGGGUCCAUUUGCAUGCUACUUAGUUGAAAAGUUGGACAAUUUGCUCCGACGCCUACCUCCUGGAUUCCAUGCUCGGUAAAACAAGAAUAAAAAAAAAUAUAUAAUUUACAAAUGGGGGAAAGAAAAAAUGUCGGAAAAAAUAGUAAAAUUCAUGUCACAUGCUAGUGAGAGAAGGGGUUGUUACACUCACUCGAAGUUCUUUUCAAAAUAUCGAAUGGUAUUUUACUUUAUGUGUCAGCGCAGUUGUGAAUGGAACGUGCAAAAGUCCAAAUUGGCGUUUUUAUUUUUCCCAUGUAGGAUGGUGACCUUUAAUAAAUAUUUAAAACAAAAGACGAAAAAAAAAAGGAGGGAAAAGGGAUCACAAAAGAUAAAAUAAUGUUUACAAAAGCUCAAUUAGUUUGCAAAUUACUGUUUGGAUUUUGAUAGUAUUUUAUUUGUCGUUCUAUAUUUGAUGUAAAAGAGAAUUUAAGAUAUUUCCGAAGCAAAAGCAUUAGUUUGCUCUGUGAUGUCCCACAUCGAAUAGGGGAGAAAGUUUCUGGCGCUAUAUAUGUAGAGGCUCCUCUUAACCAAGUAGAUGCGUUUUAAAACCAUGAGGGCCCCCUUAGGUCCAAAGCGGACAAUAUCUACAUGAUUGGGUGUAAGUCAUUACAAAUGGUAUCAGAGCCGAUCCCCGACCCCGGUGUGGGGGUUUGUUUGGCCCUGUAAGGGGUGUUUGUCUGUUUGACCCCACAAUCCCAUGGGACACAACGAGGACGUUGUGUCUGCAUGGGGGGGCGUUUGUGAUGUCCCACAUCGGAUAGGGGAGAAAGUUCCUAGUGCUAUAUAUGUAGAUGUUUCUCUUAACCAAGUAGAUGCAUUUUAAAAUUGUGAGGGCCUCUUUGGGCCCAAAGCGGACAAUAUCUACAUGGUUGAGUGUAAGUCAUUACAUGCUCCAUGUCAAUUUCAGCAUUUCUCAUAUGUUUCACACAUACACAGAAGAGCAUCGUUUUUUAAAGCAUGCAUUUAUGUUGGAUUAAUUUGGAUUUUGUGGGAACUGGGGCAAGGAUCACAUGGAAGAGAGGUUGACUUUUUUCAGUACUUCAAUGGUUGAAAUAUGUGAAGGCUUGAUUGAUACUAAAGCUUGAAAUUGCGACUCUGUCAUUUGUAAAAAAAUAUGACAGCUUCCAUGCUCUCGUUUGGUUGCAUUGUCCGGUCGAGAGGUGCAAAAAGCAUUCUCUCUCUUCUAAUAGUCUUUUCGUUUAAAUCAAGGGAUUUGCCUUCCCGGUCGAGGUCCAAUAGAGGGUAACGGUCACCUACUAAACAUUAAAUGCUCCAACAACUAGUGAACUGAUCGACCCCAGCUCGACUAGUUGAGGUUACUUUUUGGUUUUCUUGUCUCCCGAGGUUAGAAACCUAUAAAUAGAGAGCUUCACUUCAUUUAUGAGUAAGAGAACACCUAAAUUUAUUUGUUUACCUACUUGUUUUUGCCAUAAAAGCUCUCAUUUCUUUUCUUGGUGUAUUAAAUCUCCAUUUGCAUAUCCUUUAGUGCACCUUUGUGAUUCAUUCUAGCCUUGAGUUGUAUUUAAGCCUUUGUUGAGCUAGGUUGAGAGUUUCAUACUUGUUUAUUGAGUGUUAAAGCCUUCAAGUGAGUUAAAACUUGAAGAGAUUGUGUAAGAGCCCAUUGGAGUCGGAAUCCAAGUGUAAAGGUGAUUAAAAGCUUGGUUGAAGCUUCAAGUUAGUGGAACUCUCACUCGGUUAUGAGCUUGAGAAGAGUGGACAUAGACAAGGCAGUGUCGAACCACUAUAAAAUCUGAGUUUGAUUUCUCUAACCUUAUCUCUUUAUAUUUGCUUCUCUUGUGCUUAAAUUUUUUGUGUUUAAAAAGAAUUUUUAAAAACUCAAUUCACCCCCUUCUUGGGAGUUUUUCUCUUUUAAGAUCAGCUUUUAUUUUCUCAAUUGGUAUCAGAACUAUGCCUCUUGUUUAAGACUUAAUCGUCUAAGAGGAAAUGGCUAAUCCAUCAAGUUCAUCUCACAUUGAAAGUUUUGCAACCAAUAGACUUCUUUUUUUUUUUUUGCGGGAACUGAUUAUCCCUAUUGGAAAACUAAAAUGACUUGGUUUUUACAAUCAAUUGAUUUAGAUGUAUGAGAUGCCAUUGAAGAUGACCUAACUUUUCCUUCAAAACUAGUUGAUGGAGUCAUGGUUCCAAAACCUAAGCAAGAAUGGGAUGAGCGUGAUUGAAGAAAUUUUCAAUUAAAUGCUAAAGUCGUUUAUACUUUGCAAUGCUCUAUGGACAGAAAUGAAUAUAAUAGAAUAUGUCAAUGCAAAUCGGUUAAAGAAAUUUGGAGAUUGCUUGAAAUAACUCAUAAAGGAACAAAUCAAGUUAAAGAGUCAAAAAUCAAUUUACUUGUUCAUAGAUAUGAAUUGUUUUUUAUGAAAGAUAAUGAAACUAUUGUUAAGAUGAUCACUAGGUUCACCAACAUUGUUAAUGGUCUUAAAGCCUUGGGAAAGACCUACAAGGAAUCCGAAAACGUGAUGAAGAUCUUGAGGUCACUUCCAUCAAAGUGGCAUACCAAGGUCACCGCAAUUUAAGAAGCAAAAGACUUGAUCAAGCUACCUUUGGAGGAGUUCAUAGGGUCAUUGAUGACAUAUGAAAUCAAUUUGGCAAAGAAGUAACAAAAAGGUGAAGACAAAAAGAAGAAGAACAUAACUCUCAAAGCUACAACUAAGGAAGAAGAAGUUGAAGAAGAAAAACAAAUUGAAGAAGAUGAAGAUUUAGCCCUCAUCACAAGAAAGUUCAACAAAUUCAUGAGGGGUGAAAGGUUUAGAAGAAGAAGGUUCACUUCUAGAAGAGACUUUUCUAAAAAGGAAUCUUCAUCUAAUGGUGACAAAAAGAGAUGGGAAGAGAAAAGAGACUUGGUGUGUUUCAAGUGCAAGAAACCGGGACACAUUAAAUAUGAUUGUCCUCUCUACAAAAGUGAAGUCAAGAGGAAAAAGAAUAAGGCAAUGAUGGCCACUUAGAGUGAAAGUGAAGAUGAAUCAUCCGAAGAAGAAAAUGAGAAAGAAGUGGCAAACAUGUGUUUCAUGGCAAUAGAUGAACUUGAUGAGGUAAAAUCUAACCUUAGUGAUUAAGAUAUACAUGAUGCAUUUGAAGAAUUGUAUGAGGAUUUUUAAAAACUUAGUUUGAAAAAUAUUUCUCUUAAAAAGAAAGUUCAACAACUUGACAAAGAACUUAGAGAAGUAAAAGAAAAAUUUUCAAAUGUUAAAGUUUCUAAAACUCAUCUUGAAAAAGAAAAUGAGAUUCUAAGAAAGAAAAAUGAAUAGUUGAACUCCUCUCUUUCAAUCUUUUCUUCUAGACAAAAAUCUUUUGAAAUGAUUCUAACUAGCUAAAAAUGUGUUUUUGACAAACAAGGGUUAAGAUUUAAAUCUUCAAAAAAUCAAAAGUAUUUUAAAAACUAUUUUGUAAAGGAAUCCACAAGUGCAAGUCCUUCCACUACUUGCAACUUUUGUGGAAGAGAAUGGCACAUUAGUAGUACGCCCUUUAAGAAAUGGUUCUCAAAAGAAUUUAAAUGCAAAAACUAAAAAAGAUUUGGAUUGAGAAAUCCAAGGUCACUAACCCUCAAGGACCCAAAAAGAUAUAGGUACCUAAAUCAACUUGAGUUUUAUGUUGUAAGGUUCAAAGAAUGAUAAGUGGUUCUUAGAUAAUGGUUGCUCAAGACACAUGACCGGAGAUGAAUCCAAGUUUGCUUUUCUUAAAAAGAAAAAUGGAGGAUAUGUUACCUUUGGAGACAAUGCAAAAGAAAGGAUGAUUGGUCAAGGCAACAUUGGUAAUGGCACAUCCUCUCUCAUUGAAAGUGUUUUAUUAGUAGAUGGUUUCAAACAUAACCUUUUAAGCAUUAGUCAAUUUUGCGACAAAGGUUUUUAAGUGAUUUUUUAAGCAUCUCAUUGCAUCAUCAAGGAUAUUCAAAAUGAUAAAACCAUUUUCAUGGGCCAUAGAUGUGAUAAUGUUUAUGCUAUAAAUAUUUCAAAAUAUGAUGGCCAUGAUAGAUGUUUUUCAAGCAUGCAUGAUCAAAGUUGGUUGUGCCAUAGGAGAUUGAGACAUGCUAACAUAGACCUCAUUUCCCAACUCAACAAAGAUGAACUUGUUAGAGGCCUUCCCAAAAUAAUUUUUUAAAAAGAUAAAGUUUGUGAAGCUUGUCAAGUGGGAAAGUAAAUCAAAAACUCUUUUAAAAACAAAAACUUCAUUUCCACAUCUAGGCCACUUGAGUUGUUGCAUAUGGAUUUAUUUGGUCCCUCUAGGACACCAAGUCUUAGAGGAAAUUCUUAUGCAUAUGCUAUUGUGGACGACUUCUCUAGAUACACAUGAGUCUUGUUUUUUAGUCAAAAGAAUAAAGUUUUUUAUGAGUUUUCAAAGUUUUGCAAUAAGAUUCAAAAUGAAAAAGGUUUUUCAAUUACUUAUAUAAGAAGUGAUCAUGGGAGAGAAUUCGAAAAUAUUGAUUUUGAAGAGUAUUGCAAUGAGCAUGGAAUUGACCACAAUUUUUUGGCUCUUAGAACUCCUCAACAAAAUGGGGUAGUUGAAAGGAAAAAUAGAACUCUUCAAAAAAUGACAAGAACCAUACUAAAUGAAAACAACUUACCAAAAUAUUUUUAGGCCAAAACGGUUAACACUUCUUGUUAUGUUUUAAAUAGAGUAUUAUUGAGGCUCAUACUUAAGAAAACUCCCUAUGAGCUUUGGAAAAACAAAAAACCCAACAUUAGUUAUUCCAAAGUCUUUGGAUGCAAUAUUUUAUAAUAAACACCAAAGACAAUCUUGGAAAAUUUGAUGCAAAAUUGGAUGUUGGAAUUUUCCUUGGUUACUCAACUUCAAGUAAAGCUUUUCGAGUUUUAACAAAAGAACCAUGGUUGUAGAGGAGUCCAUCCAUGUUAUUUUUUAUGAAUCUCCAAGAAAGAGAGAGGAUUGAUGAUGAUUUAGGUUUGAAGACCUCUAUAGGAAGAUUGCAAAUCGAAGAUAGAAGACAACAAGAAGAAAAUGGAGAGAAUCCAAAGAAAGAAGGAUCACCAUUGGCACUACCCCCUCAUCAACAAGCGCAAGGUGAAUCAAGUCAAGAGCUUCCUAAAGAAUGGAAGUUUGUCAUCAAUCACCCACAAGAUCAAAUUAUAGGCAAUCCAUCUAGUGGGGUAAGAACUAGAUCCUCUCUUAGAAAUAUUUGCAAUAAUCUAGCUUUUAUCUCUCAAAUUGAGCCUAAAAAUAUAAAUGAUGUUUUAGAUGAUGAAAAUUGGAUAAUUGCAAUGCAAGAAGAGUUAAAUCCAUUUGAAAGAAGUGGAGUAUGGGAAUUAGUACCAAGACCUUCAAAUCAAAGUGUUAUUGGAACUAGAUGGAUCUUUAGAAAUAAAAUGGAUGAAAAUAGCAUAAUUGUUAGAAAUAAAGCAAGAUUGGUAGCCCAAGGUUUUAAUCAAGAAGAAAUGAUAGAUUAUGAAGAAACCUUUGCCCCCGUAGCUAGGUUGGAAGCCAUUAGGAUGCUACUUGCCUUUGCAUGUUUUAAAGACUUUGUUUUAUAUCAAAUGGAUGUGAAAAGUGCUUUUUUAAAUGGUUUUAUAAAUGAAGAAGUAUAUGUUGAACAACCACCCGGUUUUCAAAGUUUCAACUUUCCUAACCAUGUUUUUAAACUUAAAAAGACACUUUAUGGUUUGAAACAAGCACCUAGAUCAUGGUAUGAAAAAUUGAGUAAAUUUCUUUUGAAAAAAAUGUUUUAAAAUGGGAAAAAUUGACACAACUCUUUUUAUAAAAACCAAAGAAAAUGAUAUGCUCUUAGUUCAAAUAUAUAUUGAUGAUAUCAUUUUUGGUGCUACUAAUGUCUCUCUUUAUGAAGAAUUUUCUAAGUGCAUGCAUAGUGAGUUUGAAAUGAGCAUGAUAGGAGAACUCAACUUCUUCCUUGGACUUCAAAUCAAGCAACUAAAGGAAUGAACCUUCAUCAAUCAAGCAAAGUAUAUAAGAGAUCUUCUCAAAAGGUUCAACAUGGAAGAAGCCAAAACAAUGAAGACUCUAAUGAGCUCAUCCAUUAAGCUUGAUAAGGAUGAGAAAGGUAAAUCCAUUGACUCUAUUAUGUAUAGAGGCAUGAUAGGUUCUUUGCUCUAUUUGACCACUAGUAGACCUUACAUUAUGUAUAGUGUGUGUUUGUGUACUAGAUUUCAAUCUUGUCUUAAAAAAUCUCACUUAAGUGUCGUGAAAAGAAUCCUCAAAUAUUUGAAAGGGACAAUGGACAUAGGCUUAUGGUAUCCUAAGAGUGAUAACUUUGAAUUAAUUGGUUUUUUGGAUGCUGAUUUUGUCAGUUGUAGGGUUGAAAAAUAAAACACUAGUGGCACUUUUCAUUUCUUAAGACACUUACUUGUCUCAUGGCAUAAUAAGAAGCAAAAUUUGGUAGCUUUGUCAACAGCAGAAGCUAAAUACAUAGCAACUGGUUUAUGUUGUGCACAAAUCCUUUGGAUGAAAUAAACACUUAGUGAUUUUGAUUUAUCUUUUGAGCAUAUUCCUAUUAAAUGUGAUAAUAGUAGUGCCAUAAGUAUAUCAAAAAAUCUCGUGCAACACUCUAGGACUAAGCAUAUAGAGAUUAGACAUAAUUUUCUUAGAUAUCAUACACAAAAGGAUGAUAUAACACUUGAAUUUGUAAGCAUAAAAGACCAACUUGCCGAUAUCUUUACAAAACCUCUAAGAACAUUUUGUUGAUAUUAGAGGACAAUUAGGAGUGAUUUCUUUAUGAUCUAAUGUGAUGAAUUCUUGAUGAAUAUACUUUUUGAUUGCAUGAAUUUCAUGUCAUAUAUGCAUCAUAUAGAAAUAUACUUAGAUAAUGGUCAAAUUUCGACCAAAAAUCAAAAUUCCCAUGGCAUUAGGCAUAAAAAUUUUGGAAUUUCAACUGAAAAUGGUAGGAGGAGGAUCACAAAAUGAGAAAGUAUGCAAAAAUUGAAAAAUCAAAACGUUGACCAAGCGGUCAAUCGGACUAGACCGAUCGACUAGUUUGUCGAGAUUUAGGAUUUUUAAGAGACUCCAACGCUUCAAUUUUUGCACCGUUCUCCUCUAUUUCUUCACGGUUUCUCUGAUUUUGUCUUUUAGAGACUAAUUUGAGUGCGUUUUGGAUCAAUUGAAGCAUUUUGGAUUGGAUUUUAGGAAGAUUGAAAGUUAAGGUUUCGGAUUUGGGUCGCCUUCUCUUCCUCUCGCGUGUCACAAUCAGCUUUAGCAUUGUUCUCUUUCCAUUUUCACACACCUAGGGUUUCAGUUGUGAGCAUCUCUCUCUCUUUACCAACCACUACUCCCUUGCUUCUUCCAUAUGGCUCCUAGGCGAGAGUCCGCUACUUCUAGGGCACAAGGCAAGCACCCAACUGAGUCGUCUCAGUCAAAGGCACGUCGAAAAGUGAGAUUUGACAUUGCCUUGUUCAGUUCCAUGGAGGACUACCAACUAUACAAGCAACACUUUGCUUAGAGACGAGUAGUUCCCAAGAGAAAUAUUAAUUUUCCUCAACUUCAGCAUUUCGAAUUUAAGGGUCUAUUUACUAGGAUGGUUGGUUGUCUAUUGUCACAAUUUCGGAGCCGGUUUUCCUGACCUUAGUGCGAGUUUUUUACUCGAGGGCGACUUAUGGCAUGGGUGGCAUGAUCAUUUCUACUGUUGGAGGAGUUGAGAUCUGUCUGGACCCAGAGAGCAUCUGCCAUAUUUUCGAUAUUGCUCUGGUUGGACUCAAAGUAUACAAGUCCAAAAUGUGGCCCAUUGUGCCAGGAUUUGAGCUUAGAGAGGUCAUUCAGAGGAUUUGUGAACUUCCAGACGCCCAGGAGAUGGGCAAACCAUUGCCACACAGUUUGACGGUCAUCAACAGGGUGCUACACCAUAUAUUGUGCUCUAUCUUUCUACCACGAAGUGGACAUUGAGAUGAGGUCUCUUAUUAUGAGGCAUUCCUUAUUGACUCCAUUCUAACGGAGAGACGAAUUCAUCUACUAUGUCAUCAUUCACUAAGCCUCCUCACAGUGACAUACCACCUCAUCAGGCACCUCUUGCUCCUGACCAUGCUCCAUUGAUGGAUUUAUUUACUCAUAUUAGCUCUCUAGGCACUCGCAUGAAGGAGUUUGUUGUAGUUAGUGAUACAUGGUUCUACUCCAUAGAGGAUCGCAUGGAUCAGUAUCAGACUGGCUUCACGUCACAGUUUGAGUAUCUCCAAUAGAGGAUUGAGCAUAUUGAGGAUCACUUGAGCAUGAGAAGAUGAUGGCUUUUCUAUGCUCUGUGUUUCCACCUCCACCUCGUCAACCUUGAUUUCUUAGAGACCCAUUGUUUUCAUUUUGUAAUGUUGCCAAAAGGGGGAGAUAUUUAGGAUCUAGGACUCUAUAGGAGACUUACAUGCAUAUCAUUUUCAUAUCAUUGUUUGGAUCGUACAUAUUGGAUAGUGAUACUUUUUACUUAUAUAUGAUAUGCCUAUAUGUUUCAUGUCUUACAUUGUUUCUUAUUGCAAAUUAUCUCUAACAUGUCUUGAUUAUCUUUUUUUUAACUUCAUAAAUUUUGAUUGUUAACCCAUGAUUGGUUUGAGGGGAAGAUUCUUCUUCUCCUAGAUAACCAAGGUUUGUCAUCAUAAAAAAAUUGGAGAUUGUUAGCCCAAGGGUUCUCCUAAUCAUGUUUUGAUGAUAACAAACCAUGCUUAAGUUACUAAUUGGUUUGAAUUAUAAAGAAUUUCAAGUGUUAAUUUGAAAAUUCAUCAAAGAACCUAAUGGAUGCAAGAUCAAGAUUUUUGGAAGACCUUUAAUCAUAAGAAACAUAUGUAAGAUGAAUGCAUGGGUGCACUUAAGAUUUGCAUAUCAUUUCAUGCAUAUUUGGAAAACACGGUUUAUGCUUUAAAGUUACAUUUCCAUCAAAAUUUGAGAUCCAUCAAAUGAACCUUAGGAAAAAUGUUUUAAAAUUGGCAUAUAAUUUUACCUAAAGACCUUGCCUAAGUGUUAGAAGCAAAAGGACAAAAAAAAUAUAGGUUUUCUGGUCAAAAAUGGUGAACCAGUCAAGGCAUUGUCUAAAUCAGCUCAAUCGGCCAAGGUACCGGUCGAUCGGUUUCCCUUUCCCUGUCGAGAUCUAGUCAAGAGGUACAAAAAUCACAAUCUCUGUCUCUUUCUCUCUUUGUCUAUCUUCCAGUAGUCUUUCCUUCCCGGUCGAGGGAUUUGCCUUCCCGAUUGAGGUCCGAUUGAGAGUAAUAGUCACUUGCCAAAUAUUAAAUGCUCCAACAGUUAGUGAACUGGUCGACCCCCACCUUGCCCAGUUGAGGUUACUUUUUGGUUUUCUUGGCUCCCGAUGUUAGAAACCUAUAAAUAGAGAGUUCCACUUCAUUUAUGAGCAAGAGAACACUUGCAUUUAUUUGUUUACCUACUUGUUCUUGCCUUAAAAGCUCUCAUUUCUUUUCUUGGUGCAUUAAAUCUCCAUUUUGAUAUCCUUUAGUGCACCUUUGUGAUUCAUCUUAGCCUUGAGUUGUAUUUGAGCCCUUUUUUUAGCUAGGUUGAGAGUUUCAUACUUGUUAAUUGAGUGUUAAAGCCUUCAAGUGAGUUGAAACUUGUAGAGAUUAUGUGAGAGUCGAUUGGAGCCGAAAUCCAAGUGUAAAGGUGAUUAGAAGCUUGGUUGAAGCUUCAAGUUAGUGGAAUCCUCACUCAAUUAGGAGCUUGAGGAGAGUGGACGUAGCCAAGGAAGUGUCGAACCACUAUAAAAUUUGAGUUUGAUUUCUCUAACAUUGUCUCUUUAUAUUUGUUUAUCUUGUGCUUAAAUUUAUUGUGUUUAAAAAGAAUUUUUAAAUACCCAAUUCACCCCCCUCUUGGGUGUUUUUCUCUUUUAAAAUUAGCCUUUAUUUUCUCACAAACUAUUGUAGUAUAGUGGUUUUUAGGUGUCAUCCAUUAGGAUGAAUUGUUCUCGGUAAUUAAGGCGUGAAUGAGAGGAGAAUUAAUGAUUGUGAUUAAGUAAAAUUGAUUUGAAAAUUCAUGGUGAAAAAUCAAUUUAACAAUGGUUUCUAAUUGAGAAAAACAAUGAAAUGUGAAAUAAAAUAAAAUUAAUAGGAAAUGAAAUUCUCGAAGUUAGAAUUUUCUAAAAAACAAAUUCCAUGGUGAAUGGAUGUUGAGAUCUAAUUUUCAUCAAGUUAGAUUGAAAACCGAAAUUUUCAUAUAAACUGAUUUUUUAUUUAGUUUUAGGUCUAGAUUUAAUUUCCCUUAAAAUUAGGUUAUUUAAUCCAAGAAAUCAAUUCAAAUCAUAUAUUCAAUUCAUCUUAAAUUAUCUUCCAAUUAUUCACACAAUGCAACUAUUCAAUCUCAUCAAAUCUAGCUUUUAAGAAUUUAAUGAAUCUACCUAGUUUGCAUUGUAAUAGUCAUCCAUGACAAUUUGAAGAGAAAAAUAAUUCAAUUAAUCAAUCACUUGGAUCAAAUUACCUUUGCAAUUAAAGUUCAUUUCUCUAAUUCACCACAGAUUUUGUCUCUAGAUCCUCCUUUCUCAAAGAAAAAUGAGAUUUAGCCACACAUGAUUGGAGAUUUGGUCUCAUAAGGCAUGUUUAGCUAGUGAUAAAAUGAGAGAAAAUAAAGAAAAAUAGAGAAUUCGAUUAAGAAAGAAAAUCUAAAAAAUUCUACAAUUAGAAAUGUCCAAAAAGCUUUUUCAUGAGAAAAUCAAGUUUCUAUUUAUAGGCCAAGGUCAAGUGGACACUUGACAUCAUCUAAGAGGUCUUCCGGAAGCUUCUUCAUCAAGAAAUCUGGAGUUUAAUAAUAAAAUGGUCAUUUCACAAGAGCUCAAACAAUUUCGCAUGAUUAUGUGAAAUAAAAAAUGCAACAACAGCAAUUUACAUCUUCUUGGAGCAUUUCGCAUGACUGUGUGAAAUUUUCACAUGAUCAUGUGGAAUCGACUUGACAACUCUCAUUUAGCCUACAACAUAAUUCCACCUUUUGGUCCAUUUUUCAUAGUCAUGCGAAAUGGAAAUAUUUGAUUUUUAAGUUUUCUUUUGUCAUUUCUUUCAUUUCCUUCUCUUGAUUCCACUUCAACUACCUCCGAAUCCUGGUCCAAACCAAUUGCAUUACUUCUUUCAUUAUGCAUUUGGAUCAUCAUCAACAUUAUUUGUUCUCUUCAAUUUGAUUCAUCUCUUUUGUCACCAAUUUAUCAAAAUCAUACCUUGAAAUGACUCCAAAACUUCAUAAAACUUGUUAGUAACUCUUGCAAGGGCAACAACAUAUUAAUUAAGUGUUUUAGGCAUAGUUACUACUCAAAAGAUGCGAAACUCAUGAUAAUUAUUAUAUAAAAUAUGCUCUUUUUGAGUAGUAAUCAACUUUCUUGCAUAAGCAGACCUUUUAGGGUGGAGUACUAAAGACCAAUAUGCUUGUCCUUGUUGUAAUAAAGAAACUUGCUCUUAUUGAUUGCACCAUGGGAGAAAAUUUUGCUACAUGAGUUAUCAUCAAUUUCUUCCCACCAAUCAUAGAUUUAGACGUGACAAGAGGCCUCUUAAUGGCAAGGAGGAACUGACACUCACACUUAUACAAUUAUCGGGCAUUGAUGUGUUGCAACAAUUAGAAUAACUUACACCAAUUAUGUUGGGGAAGUCACAAAAGGCAAACAUGAAAACUAAAAGGAAAAAAGAAAAAUGUUACAUAUCACCACAACUGGAAAGAAAAAAGUAUUUACUUUCAUUUGCCAUAUUGGAAAGCACUUAUUUUACAUCAUAAUAAUUUAGACAUAAUGCAUAUUGAGAAAAAUGUGUGACAAUAUAAUUGAGACAUUGUUCAGUAUUGACGAAGAAACAAGGACAACCUAAAUAGUCAUCUCGAUUUACAAGCUCUAACUAUUAGAAAUGAGAUUCACCCAAUAGAAAGCAGGACCAAAUUUAUUUUGCUUGCAACAUGCUACUCACUCACCCCAAAUGAGAUUAAGGAAUUUUGCAAGUUUUUGAAAUCAAUAAAGGUCCCCAAUGGCUAUUCUUUCAAUAUCUCUCGUUAUGUGCAACUCAAUGAAAGGAAGAUAUAUGAGCUCAAAUUGUAUGAUUGUCAUGUCCUAAUGCAACAACUUCUCUCACUUGUAGUUCGUGGAGUUCUACAUAAGAAUGUUUGUGGAGUUAUCAUAGAAUUGCGUAAUUUUUUCAAGCAAUUGUGCUCAAAGGUGUUAGAAACAAAUCACUUACACCAACUUGAGAACAAUAUUAUUGUCAUACUAUGUAAAAUGGAGCAAAUAUUUCUUCCAUCAUUCUUUGAUAUUAUGGUGCAUUUACUUGUGCAUCUAGUAAGGCAAAGGUUGCAAGACUUGUGCAAUAUUGUUGGAUGUACCUAAUUGAACGAUAUUGUUAUAAUUUCAUAUGAAUCAUUUAAUUUUAUUUUAUAUUAUGUUCAGUUCAUUAACAUGUACAUUGGUCUACAUAUGGAUGAUGAUAGGUACCUAAGCACUUUAAAGUCAUAUGUGCGUAAUAGAACUUUUCUAGAAGGUUCUAUUGUAGAAAGGUACCUUGCAAAAGAAUGUACAACAUUUUAUUCUAGGUACUUGAAUGAUGUGGAAAUAAAGUAUAAUCACAAUGAUAGAAACUUUGUUGGUUUCAACACUAGAGGAGAUGAAAGGGGUUAUCUUUAAACAUAUUGGACAUGCAUUGGGAAAGCCCAUAUUUCAUUAACUUAGUUCAAAAGAGUGGUCACAAGCACAUUUAUAUGUGUUGACAAAUUGCGAAGAUGUCAUACCAUUCAUUGAGUAAAAAAUUUAUUUGAAUUUUAAUUAAAGCUCUAGUUUAUAUCCUUAAUCAAUGUUUUUUAAAUUCACAAGGAGCACAAGCAAACCAUCAAGGCUAGACCACAUAUACGUGUUUGAGACGUAGAUUUAAUUCAUAACAAGGAAUUUAUCAAGUGGUUUGAAAGACAUGUAAGUAUAUUCCUUAUUAUAAGGGAUUUAUUUCACAUUAUGUUUAUAUUGAAUCCAAACCUAUUAUUGAAUUGUAGGUUGAACAAUUACAUAAUGAAGGUCAUAUAUCUGAACACCUUCUCACAUUAUCAUGUGUUCCAAAUUCAUUAGUUACAUGCUUCAAAUGAUAUAUUGUCAAUGGAUUUAGAUCCCACAUUAAAGAACGUGAUAAAAAAGUUUUUAAAAAAAGACUCAGAAUAAUGGAAUUGUUGUAGUUGCAAAAACGUCAAGCUUUACAAGUGCAUGUGAUAUGAGUCCAAUUAUUAGUGAUGCUCUCUACUAUGGUGUUCUAACUAAAGUUGUUGAGUUACAUUAUCUUGGUGAAAAUAAGGUUGUUUUAUUCGAGUUUGAUUGGUGGGAUGUUACAAAUAUUGGAAAAUUGAUAAAAGAUGAUGAGUACAAUUACACAUUUGUUAACUUUGCAUGAAUUCUAACCACGAACGAACGAUUUGUACUUGCAUCUCCAGCAAAGUAAGUGUUCUAUGUGAAGAAUGCGAAUGAAUCAGAUUGGCAUACUAUCAUGGAGAUGCAACCUCAAGACCUCUAUAAGAUGAACGGGAUAGGAUCCAAUGGUGAUUUUGAACCAUUUCAACAAAGUGAACUACAUGAUCACUAAUAUAUCUCAGAUUUAGUUGAUGAAGAUAUAAUCAAGUGGAACAAAAGUGAUGUUUUAGGACUAAUCAUCCUAAAAAAUAUUGUAGUUUCUUAAAAAAAAAAUGAAAAUGAAGAAGAUAAUUGAACCUUUGUCAUACUUUAAAAAGCAACUAUGCAUUGUUCAUUUUGUAUGUUUUGGUUUUCUUCAUUUAAUUUCCUGAUUUUUGUGAUUCAAUGUCAUAUUAUUGAUCUUGAAAUAUUUUUCUAAUUUUUCAUUCUACGAUGGUUUCAACAAGGAUGACAUCAAGUCAAAAAAGGAAAUGUGGUCCCACACACAAUAUUGCAUUACAGGGAUUAAGGUCAGGGAAGAAGGUAAAAGUUGCAUUUAAUGAGUACAAUCAAUUGGUUAAACAGAAAAAUGGAAAACACUUAUCGAGCUACAUAGGGACACUUGUAUCUAACCAACACAAUGUACCUCUCCAAGCUAGUGAUUGGAAAAAUGUUCCAAAUGAUGCAAAAGAGAAAGUAUGGCCUUUGUUUUGGUAUGUUGUAUUUCUCACUAUAUGAUGUCAUUUCACUGUUAUUCUAUUUUGUGACUAACGUUUGAAUCAUAUGUAAGAAAAAUUUGAAGUAGAUAAAGACUGAAAAGAUUACAUGUUGGGUAUAGCCUCAAAUAAAUAUAGAAGCUAUAAAAAUAUGAUGAAUGCAAAAUACUAUGACCCUUGGCAUAAGGAUGCAUGAGGAGAGGUUAAUACAUAAAUCACCAUUUGUCUCUGAUGUUGAUUGGAAGUGGCUUGUCUCUGAUGCAUAAACCAAAUCCCCCACUGAAUGUUUGAUAUUUGAUAGCAGGAAAAACACACCCGCAGCUAUACACCUCCAUCAUUCAGAUAAUUAUAGUGGGGGAGAUGAUUCAUGGUUGCCCUUAUACCCUUUAUUUGCACCAUCUAUUGAGAUUCUUUAUCAUGGCCAGGUUUUACUGCAGCAAUAAGAUAUGGUGGCAACAAUUUUAUCUAUAGGUGCGGUUCCAGACCGCCUCCAUAGGUGCGGUUCCUGACUGCCUCCAUAGGUGCCUCUUCUUGUAAUGUUUGUUCUGGGAAUUACACUUGAAAGCCUUAUCGUGAUAAGGGAUUACAAACACUAGUUCAGAGGACAGCCAUGUUAAACUUCCACUAUGUUUGUGUCACAUUAUCAGCAGCCUAGUGUUUAUUGGUCAUGCUAUCUGCAACUAAUAUAACCCGGUGAACUUCAAUCUAAAUUCUGAAAGUACUCAUGUGACAGAUGGUGCCUUUCAGCAGAUAUCAUCAAUUUAAAAGUAGUGUGUGUGCCUAUAGGUGGGAAGGCCUUGGCAAAUGUUCAGUAUUCCGGUAAUUCAAGAAGGAUAUAUCUAAAAUAGAUUUUCUUCUUGCCCAUUUCAAUAGUUAAAAUUUGAGAAGAUUGUGUCCACAUCACACAAAUAUUAUUGGUCCUUCUGUUGCAAUUUACCUCUGAACAUGUCUUCCAAUUCCCACGGUCCUGUUACUCCAGGAAAACUAUUUCGGUCAUAUUGAAAAAAAAAAUAUUAAAGAAGGUACACAUGCUUUUAAGUGGACUGGGGCAUUCAUAUCAGGUGGUCUGUAUCCACAUAUGCCACUUCGUGAAAGGUGGAACAGCCUAAUCACUAGGCUAUUUAGUGUGGCCCAGCCACGUUAAUCAAGCACAAGUCUUCAUACUUAAAGUCAAAUGGUGUCUUUAGUCUCAUUACACAUCGCUAUUUGAAGAUUAACUCAUCACUAGUGUAAUGCGAUUAAGACAGUCCUAACUCAAUAUUUGUUCUAGUUUUGGAUGCAAAUGCUUGCUGGUUUCAUCAUUGGAUGGGAUAAAGGUGCAAUCAGGACUAUGAAUACGUGCAGUAAUACUUCAUUCUCUUUUUUCUCAAUGAGACUUCUUGGCACAAUUUUGCUGCUCAGCAACCUACCUUUCCAUGGAAAAUCAGUUGUGACUGAUAGUAAUGGAUAUAUUCUAGAAAGCUAAACAUAGAUAGCAUUCAAUAUUAUCGAUAUAACAUUAACAGCGUAUGUCUCAAUGCUCAUCAGCUACAAGCAAUGGACAAACACUUUGAGUAACUCACAGCAGUCAAAAUUCCUAAACAGGACAGACGUGACAGAUCUAUAUAUAGAACACUGCAUAUGAGUCACAGGAAAAGAUAAUACGGGUACAUAGAAGCUCUUAUUUUACAUAUUACUCAUACUGAUCAAAGUCGCUCAGUUGGGAUGGAUGGGAGAAGGAGGUUUGAGGGGUGGCUUGUGCGGGGAAGUUGGCAGCUUCUUUCCGGGAGCUGGUUGCUUCUUUGCUGGAGUUGAAGGAGGCUUAAUCUUCCGAGGUGGCUUGUAUGAGUCUUCAGCAUUCUCAGCAGGAGGGUGACCAGGGUUGUGACCAUAAUGUGGUGGCUUCUCUCCCUUAGGUGGUUUGCCAACUGGGGUUGGUGGCUUGUUUUCUGGGAGUGGCUUCUCUCCCUUGGGUGGUUUGCCAACUGGGGUUGGUGGCUUGUGUUCUGGGAGUGGCUUCUCCCCCUUGGGAGGUUUUUCGAAUGGGGUGGGUUUGUGUCCUGGUGGUGGCUUCUCUCCCUUGGGAGGUUUACCAAUUGGGGUCGGUGGCUUGUGUUCUGGGAGGGGCUUCUCUCCCUGGGGAGGUUUAGUGGGUGGCUUGUGUUCUGGAGGUGGCUUCUCCACCGGAGGCUUAUGCUCUGGUGGUGGCUUCUCGAAGGGGGGAUGCUCAGGGUAAUCACCAAGUGAGGGGGUGGUGAGAACCACCAUGCCAAGCAACAACACUAGCAAGUAUGUAGUAGACAUCUUUGGGUUUGGACUCAGACAGUGCAAAACUACGAGAAAUCGCUAGCCCUUUAUAGCGGCUCGGACCUAAUACUGACAUAAUAUAAAAUAAAUAUUAUAUUUUAUCAAGAGAGAACAGAGUGUAAUUUUAUCAUUAAUACCGAUCGAGGCCAAAGAAAGAAGACCCAUAAUCCAUUUCCCACAAGCAUACACAAUGCAGCUGUAAUUUUAUCAUUUACUUUUAUCCCUUGGACCACUGCAUUUUUGUUGAGAGACACAAUAACACAUUUUUAUCUGUCAUUCAACAUUUACAGUAAAGAGAGGGCACAAAACGCAAUUAGAUAAAUUAUGUUUUGCCUGCUAAAAAGAGGCAAAUAACUUUAUUUGCAACAUAAUUAUUUUGGUUUCUAGUGACCCCGGGGCCUUUCGGUUGGUUUGGGAUCGGAAAAUGAACAUCAUAGGGGGGGUUGUGCCCUUAUGGGCAUAUAUAUCUGAUAGCUUCAACUGGCCUUGUUCCUAGAAAGAAAUUGCCAAAGAUAUAAACUUAUUCCAGGCUGAAAGUAGAUGAGAGUCAUAAUGAACAUCAACCUUUGUUCAGUUUGAUUCAAUGCCCCCAUAGUGUUCAUUUCACAGAUCUGAAUGAUUAUAUCCGUUGAAUACAUAAAUUAAUGAAGACAAAUAUGAAACCCAAGAUACAUCUCUGCAUAACAACCCCAACCCUGGUUGCUAUGUUUCCCUUCUUCUAUUCACAUGAGGAUACUGGUUAUAAUUGUCAAACUUGCAACAAGCCCUUUGACACCUAACGUCAAUGGACGAAUUAAAAGUCUCCUUCAAACGUCUAUUUCACAGCAUGAAGCUUAUAAAGGAUGCUGACAACCUUCAGAGUUAGCGACAAAAGAUAAUUAUCAAGGAGAGAUAGUUCCAUGAGAAUUCCAAGGAGUCUGAAUCAAAGACAAAUUGCUCACUCAAGGGUUCUUAUUUUCUUUUAGGUACAAAUCUCUUGAGUGUUGUUAAAGAAACACGUCACUGUCAUUUUGAUUUGCAUUUAACAUUUCACUUUUGUUCUGGAAGGUUUGUUCCGGAAACAUAUCAAAUGAGCAUCAUUUUCUUCUUCGGUGACACAUGGUCGCGAGUACGUGGGUCCAUUUUCAUGCCACUUAGUUGAAAAGUUGGAAAGAAAAAACAUGCCAACAAGAAGAUAGUGAGAGAAGGGGCACUUCAAGCCUUUAACAUGAACAAACAGUAAAUAAAAGAUGUUUCUCCACUCAUAAAAGUGUGUUAGAUAGCAAUAUAACGAAUCACAUCCAAAAUCUUUACUAGGCUCAAACAUAAAGAAGACUCAUUUUUAAGAAAAGAUAAAAAUGGCAUUGUCUGAUAGUAUCCAAUACACGAGAUGGCACUUAAUUUGUACAAGAUCUGUCAAUGCUGACGCACAUUUUCUGAUUAAAAAAAAACUGAUCAGUCAAAAGCAAUGAAGAGAAGUGAUGACAAUGAAUGAUGCUUCCAAUAUUUUCACCCCUUAUAGUGUUCUUCAUGAUUCAGAUAUAUAAUUGGAAAUAGAACAACCCUAUGCCAUACAUUCGUCUAAGUAUGGUGUCUAAUUUUUUGUGUCAGCGGUUGCGAAUGGAGCGUGCAAAAGUCCAAAUUGGCGUCUCUCCAUUUCCACAUAGGAAGGUGACCUUUAUUGACAAAUACCCAAUAUUUGUAGACAUUCCUUAAAUAUCAUAACUUCUUGUUGAUUUGAAAAUCAUUUUUCAACUACCAUGUUUUAAUAAAUAUUUUUUAAAAUGUAUUUUUAUCAAAGUCCACCAUGAUGGAUAAUAUUCACCAUGCAAUAAUUAAUAAAGUACAAACUAAGCGAAAUGAAAAGCAUUUUCUUUGCUUUGAGUUGAUUUUGGUUGCAUUGAGUUGAUUUUGGUUUCAUGGUUUUUUCAACUCUUAUUUUGAUUGGAAGAUGUCAAGAAAAGAAAACAUAAAGAAAAAUUAAAAGGGAAAAAAGAAGAAAAAUAAAAAAAAAUAGAUUUAAAAGUUAAUAAAUUAUUUUUUAUAUUUAUUUUAAUUCAUUUCACUUAUUUUUCUUUUACUAUAUAAAAUUUAAAUAAUUUAAAUUUUAUAAUUAAUUUAAUUACAUUUCAUUUUCUUCUAUAUUUAAAUAUUGGAAAAAUAUUUUACUUAAUAUUUUUUUCUUUAAUUUCUUUGGCAUUUUGGGAACCAAACUUAGCCUUUAAAAUAAAAAACAAAAAAAAAAUGAAAAUAAGGAGGGAAAAGUGAGAAAAGAUAAAAACAAUAUGUAAAGGAUUUGAAAAGUAUUAGUUUGUAAUUACUAUUUGGAUUUCAAUAGUAUUUUAUUUGUCUUUCUAUAUUUCAUGUAAGAGAGAAUUUAAGAUAUUCCCCAAGGCAAAGCAUUAGUUACCUGCAAUCAGUGGUGAUAAGGCUCCAAGCCAAUUUUGGGCCCCAUAUCUUAAGACAGUACAAUUUCCAUUUCAACAUUUCUGAUUUCUCAGAUGUUUCACAUACCACAGAAGAACAUUGUUUGUGAAAAUAUGCAUUUAUGUUGGAUUUUGUAUGCUGUGGGGACUGGGGCAAGGAUCAUAUGGAAGAGUGGUUGACUUUUUCUGUACUUUAACGGUUGAAAUAGGAUAAGCACGGGCAUUUGUGAGGCUUAAUUGAUUUUGAAGCCUGAAAUUGCGUUUCUGUCAUUUUGUCAAAAAAAUGGCAGAUUCCAUACUCAUAUGUUUGGCCUGUGGCCAUGUACAGAUGCCAUUUAGUGACCAGUUUGUAACUGUCAAUCGUUGCGUUUUGACUCUGCCUCAACAACAUCUGCCAUUGACGGGUUUUCAUACUUGCAAAUCAAAUAGUCUUUCGUCCCAUCAGGAAUUUCGGUUUAAAUAUUAUUAAGCAUACGUUUGGCUGACAAUCAUUAUCCAGUUCAUGAUUUGGUUUCUUACCCUUAAUCAAUGGUUUCUAAGUGAAUAUAUGUAGAAGGAAAUCCGAAGUGUAGACAGUAGUAUCGAUAACUCUCAAUAUUCUCUAUAUAAUAGAAUAAACAGCGUCAUAGUGAUCGUCGCCUACAAGCAAGGUACAAAUACCAAAACGAGUGACUCACAUAGACAUCUCCCAACAAGAUGUAGUAGUGACUGACACAUGGACACAAUUAACUCGUAGAAAAGGAUAAGACCAUUGCACAGCAGCUCUUAUUUUACAUACUACUUAUGCUAACCAAAGUCAAUUAGUUGGGAUGGGUGGGAGAUGGAGGUUUGUGCGGUGGCUUGUGGGGCGGAGUUGAUGGCUUCUUUCCAGGAGCUUCUGGCUUUUUCAUCGGAGCUGAAGGAGGCUCAAUCUUAUGAGGCGGCUUGUAUGAGUCUUCUUUACUCUCGACAGGAGGGUGGCCAGGGUUGUGAUCAUAAUGUGGUGGCUUCUCUCCCUUAGGUGGCUUGCCAACUGGGGUUGGUGGCUUGUGUUCAGGAAGUGGUUUCUCUCCCAUGGGAGGUUUAGCAAUUGGGGUUGGUGGCUUGUGUUCUGGGAGUGGCUUCUCUCCCUUGGGAGGUUUAGUAGGUGACUUGUGUUCUGGAGGUGGCUUCUCCACCGGAGGCUUGUGCUCCGGUGGUGGCUUCUUGGUUGGAGGGGGCUUGGGGUAAUCAGCAAGAGAUGGGGUGGUGAGAACCACCAGUCCAAGGAACAACACUAGCAAGUAUGUGGGAGACAUUUUUGAGUUUGGGCUGAUCAGAUGAUGCAAAACUAAAGCAUUACGUGACCUUUUAUAGCAUGUAGCUCCCAAUACCCACUAAGUAUUGUGGGGUCCAUUUGUGCCCUACGGGGUUGAAAACUUAGACAAUUGGGCAAGGACCCACCUGACUAUGGAGGACUAGUGAGGUGUGAUCAUAGCUUUAGGAUUUUUCUUCCUCUGCAGCCGUCGUGCCGUUGGCAUGAUUUUCUUAAUCUUAAAUAAAGGCAUAGUUAUAGAGUUGUUUAAUCUCUAAAUGGGAUUUUAUAUAUAUCUUCAGAUAGCCAUUAAUAUAUUUGAUGAAGAAAGAAAGACAAGUGCAUACAACAUGUAUACGACUAGCUUUCAUGGAGUUCAUUUAUGAUCAGUUUUCCUGUACAUGUAAACCAGGAUCAUAUAUAUGUUUCUGUUCCACAACUAUUUUGGAAUCUUGUUUAUCAGUUUUUAUCAUUAUAAUGUCACAUAGGCUGCCAACUUGGGCGCUAAAAGAACCAGUUGGGCUAGUUCGUUUCAGAAUUUCAAUGUGGAUUCAGGAAUUGUUUUGUAAGAUAUGCGAAAUAGUAGAGGGAUGAAUAGUGUUUCAUUAAUAAAAGUGUCCUGUAAAUUAGAAGGUGUCAUAGAAACUAUAAUCAAUAAAUAACUUUUUUUCCCCACGGGUGGUGUUUCUUGUGGGGAUCAGUGACUGGUUUAGGUUCACCCAAAAUGAGUUCAGACUAAAAUUGGUUUGAGUCAAUGCCGUGUCUCUUUUUUCCAGAAAUCAACUAUUUUAUGCAUUGAAUAAAUCAUACAAAGAAAAUAUGAACGCCCGCAAAACCUAAACCCUGGUUGCUAACUUUCUAUGUUUCAGUUCUAUUCACGCAAGAAUAUUAGUUUAAGUUUGGGAAAAAUGGCAACUUACCUAGUGAUUACUUGGUUUUGGUUUGCGACUAUUUACGCAACCAACCAUGAGUUUGACUUUAACGUCAUGGGUUGAAGCCUCCUACAGGAAGGGAGAAAGCUCCACAGCUAGCUCCAAAAGAGAAUUAUCACAUUGAUAGCUCCAGAGAUUCCCAAGGGGACUGAAUCAAAGACAAGUUCCUCACUUUUUCUUCUUUUGAGGCCAAAUAUGAACCAAGGAUCACACAACCUCAUUCAACUUCAUAAGUUUGAUUUCAUGCAGUUGAACACUGGGUGAAGGCCAUGACAAGAAUUGAUUCAAAAAUUCUAUCACUCUUUUAAGUAAUGGAAGAUUAUUAUCUCUGAUUGGCAUCACAACAGCACAUGCUCCUAGAUCUUUCUAGACACUCCAUGCAAUGAAAGCACAAUGGAUCUUGUAACGAUAGAAACUAAGCCAUGCUACAGUACUAGAUGAUGAGGUAAAACUAGUAGACACGGGUGGCAGCCUAUAUGGGAGGGACACAAGUCUAAUUGAUUUGCAUUUCAGCAUUAUAGAUAGGUAUGUUUUGGAAGAUUUGUUCUGGAAAUACCGCACCAAGUAGGAUUCUUUUUCUCUUUAGUGGGUCCACUUGCAUGCCAAUUAACGAGUUGAAAAGUAUGAGCACCUACCUCGUGCUCGUGGAACCGAAGGUCAGUGAAGUGGGGCUCCUUUUGGCCUCGUGUAAACUUGAUUCAGAAGUGAAGUUAAUAGUCUUCCAUUCAGAUGGAUACAUGGGAAUUUUUCUCUUUUAUUUAUUUAUUUAUUUUUUUUUUGUGUGUGUAUGUCAAAGGAUAAUGAAUGAAGCGCGUUAGCUUGUUUUCUGACUGGAACCGCAGAUGUCCAAAUUGGAGUUCCUUCAUUUCUUACUUAGGAUUGUUACAUGUAUAAACAAGGUAUAAGAAAUAUGCCAACGUGUCUUGAGGAGUUAUUGAUUAGAAAUAACAAGUCACCCGACUGUAGAGUUCCAAGAUUUGAAUCUUCAGACCCUAUAGCAGCCUCUGGGGUACGUGGCAUCCUAUAGCAUAUUAAUGAAGGCUUUUUCGAUUUAGACUUCACAAUACCAAUUAAUAUGUAUGCACAAAAUGGAGAUGACCCCAAAAAAAACAGAAUCGCCAUAGUUUAUGAGGUUAAGGUGAUUCUCCACUUAAUAUCUACAUUAGCUAAUUAUGUAAAUCAAAUGAACUUCUAUUUUUCCUUUUUUUUUUUGGUUUAUGUCAAAUAGUAGCCCAUAAUUAACCCAACCAUUAGCCUGUUUGAAUUGAUUUCACAUGCACAAUGUUGUAGUAGUUCAUAUUUUGAAUUUUAUUUUUACAAAGGUAGUUAAGGAAAAUGAAGUAUAAUAAUUAUAAAAGCAGACUAUAUACACUACAAUAAUUGUUAGAAUGGUAUCUCAAAUUCUAAUUUAAAAUAUUAUUUUUUGUAAAAGAAAUAUUAUAUAGAAUAUUUCCUAAUUUUAUAAAUGAUUAUAAUUAGAUCUUUAUAAAAUAAGGAAAGUUGGUAAGAAUAUCUUUAUAAAUAUUUUAGGUCAUGAGAGAAAGAAAUGGGAUAAAAAUGUGAUGAAGAGGUGAAAUAAGAGAGUUGAUUAGGAUAUAGAUGUGAAGAAGAAAGGGAUUCAAUAUAUAUAUAUCUUUCAAUUACCACAUUAAAACCCUGUGAACCUUUUAUAUGGUUUACUUUAUUUUUAUAUUCCUCCUUUAAUAUAUUUACAUUAAUGCUUCCAUUGGCACAACAAUAACGAAUUACAAAUACAAGCAACAAGUCCCAUGUUUUAUUACCAAAAGCAGGUAAAAUCCACCUAAUAUAUUACAAUAUAUUCAUCCAAUAUUUUAGACCAAUUCUUCACCAUAAAUAUCAUAAUGUGGCUUUUGUUCUUUCUUAAAUUUAAAUUGAAUUGUCUUAUAUCAAUUUGUUUGUGAUUUUUUCAUUAACUUCACUUUCAUUUGGUUAUCUUUGGUUUUUGAAAAGUAUUAAGGAAUUAAUUAACAAAAUAAUGUUAAGAAAAAUAAUUUUCUCUCUUUUGAUUUUGAUUUUGUAGUAGAAAAAUAUAAUUAAAAUUAUUUAAAAAGUAUGUAAUUUUAAAUUAUUUAAUAUUUAGAUAAAAAAAAUAAGUCUAAUGAGUUUAAAAUAACAUAUAAAAAUAAUUUAUUUAUUUUAAAUUUAUUUUUUAUUUUCCAUUAUGUUCUCUUUCUCUUUUACUUUUUCAUAUUUUUUCUUACGAAGAAUCAAACACAACCUCAUAUUAUAUGUCAAGUGUUUGUCUAUAUUUGAGCAAUGUUAGAUACGGCCAUGGAUUCAUCAAACUAAACUGAUUUUAAUAGAUACUUCACAAAUUGAUUUAUACACUAAAUCAUUGGAUAGCAAUGAUGCAUUGGAAUUAAACGUAGGAUGAAGCUCGAAGAACACUGUUUGUGUAACAACAUAUUUAUGAAAUUAUGCAAAGGAUGAGCUUCGGGGUAGUAGUACAAGGUCAUUAAUGGAGAGCCGUGUUAAACCUUGAUUGUGAUUGGAUUCCGUUAUCAGCAACAGCAACCUUGUUUGUAACCUUGAAAGUCAUUCUGUCCACAUCGAAACUCCAAUUUGACGUUUGUAAUUACCAUUCCUGGAGUGUUCCUUGAUUGAAAUUUAAAUAAUAAUUGCGGCCCACAAGGAAUAUUUUCGAUUCUGUGGGAAUUUGACAAGGUUUGUUAGAGAAGACUGGUGACAUGUUGACUUCAAUGGUUCAAAUAGGAGACGUAUGUGGAUUUGGGGGGUUUAAUUGAAACUGAGUCCCUAUGGCUUUUUAAUAUUUGCAUUGAGCAGUCUCCAUGUGACUUCCUAAUUCCCACCAACCCUCCUGUCCAUGCUGUGAAACUAAAUUGUAAUUUAUCAGCCUUUGUCAAUGGUUUCUAAAUUAAAGAUAUAGACCAUGCAUGUACUUUAAUAAAAGCAAAUCUAAAGUGUAGAUAGCAGCAAUGGUGACACCCAAUAUUCUCCAUAAAAUAGAAUUAGAAUAAGCAGUGUUACAUUGUUCAUGAUCACCUACAAGCAUACAAGAACUUCCAUGAAUAACUCAUAGCAAUUGCCAACAGGGCGUCGUAGAGACUCAUACAUAGAACACUAUCCACCCAGAGGAAAGGACAAGACCAGUGCGCUGCAGCUCUUAUUUUUCACAUGUAUACCACCACUCGUAAUAACCAAAUUCACUCAGUUGGGAUAGGUGGGAGAUGGUGGUUUGUGGGGUGGCUUGUGGGGAGGAGUUGGAGGAGGCUUUAUUUUCUGAGGCGGCUUGUAUGAGUGUGCAGGAGGAUGCCCGGGAGUGUGACCAUAAUGUGGUGGCUUCUCUCCCGUAGGUGGUUUGCCAAAUGGGCUUGGUGGCUUCUCUCCCUUAGGAGGUUUACCAAUUGGGGUUGGUGGCUUGUGUUCUGGGAGUGGUUUCUCUCCCUUGGUAGGUUUGCCAAUUGGGGUUGGCGGCUUAUGUUCUGGGAGUGGCUUCUCUCCCUUGGGAGGUUUGCUAAUUGGGGUUGGCGGCUUAUGUUCUGGGGGCGGCUUCUCUCCCUUGGGAGGUUUGCCAAUUGGAGUUGGCGGCUUAUGUUCUGGGAGUGGCUUUUCUCCCUUGGGAGGCUUGCCAAUUGGGGUUGGCGGCUUAUGUUCUGGGGGUGGCUUCUCUCCUUUAGGAGGUUUGCCAAUUGGAGUCGGCGGCUUAUGUUCUGGAAGUGGCUUUUUUCCCUUGGGAGGUUUGCCAAUUGGGGUUGGCGGCUUAUGUUCUGGGGGUGGCUUCUCUCCCUUGGGAGGUUUGCCAAUUGGAGUCGGCGGCUUAUGUUCUGGGAGUGGCUUCUCUCCCUUGGGAGGUUUUGUUGGUGGCUUGUGUUCUGGAGAUGGCUUCUCCCCUGGAGGCUUGUGCUCCGGAGGUGGCUUCUGAAAUGGCGGGGGCUUGGGGUAAUGAGCAAGAGAUGGAGUACUGGUGAGAACCACCAUUCCAAGCAACAAUACUAGCAAGCAUGUGGGAGACAUCUUUGAGUAGUUGUAGCUAAGAUGGCGCAACACUGUAGGCAUUGGGUGGCCUUUUAUAAAGGGCUGGACCCAACAGCCAUAUGACACGUGUCAUGAUGACAAAUGAAGUUGAGGGGAUCCAGAUGGGUCCUACUGAGUCGAAAACUUGCACUAAUUGAUCUGGUGAGAUGACUAUUUCUGUCCUUUUGCCCUUCUCGGCCACCCUGUGCUGUUUUCCUUUUGCACGAUUUUCGUUGCCAAACAAGCAAAUAAUAUUUCGCCAAGAAAGAGGAGAGUGAAUGUGGAAUGCAUCAAGUCCCAUCAAGGAUGGCAGAGAAGAAAUAGAAGAUUGCCCAACUGUGAUAAACAUAGCAUACACGUAGCACCAGGAACUUCAUUUACUUCCAUCUAAUGGAACAUAACAAUCUUCUAAAGUUUUUGCAUGAUUUUGUUAUAUGUCUCUUAGCCUAAAGUUGGAAAUGCGCAACAAAUUUUGUCACUUCUCUAUUUCCCACUGAUGAUGUUAAUUAGCCUUCAUAGAUAUCAUCCUUUCUACAAAGUGCUUCAUUUGUGUGUUAUUGUAAAGUGUAAGAAAAGUAAUUGAACAUGUUCUUUUUCCUUUCAUAGAUGACUUUUGAUGUGCAUUUUAAAAGCAGCGCUGUGAGUCGGUGACCUUGAUUCACACGGAAACUAAGGCUCCUAUAGGACCCACUUUUAGCUGGUUAGGGGUGAAGAAAAUAUCAACUUUUCAGAGUGAUUUAAGUCAAGGCCAAGCCUCACUGUGUCAUUACUCGUGUGAAUUUUAUAUGCACAUACAUACAUAAAUAAAGUAUGAGACCCAAAUAACACCUUCCCUUUACAAACUUAACCCCAGCCGCUCUCUUUCAAUUCUUUUCACACAAGGGUAUUGACUCUAUAAAGGUCAAGAAAAUCAUAAUUUCCUAGGGUUUACAAGGUAAUUGGCUUAAUGCUAAUGUGAAAACAUAAAAGAUAAUAGUAUAUUGUAAGCUAACGAAUAUUCUAUAGUUAUAAUUAUUUGUGAUGUGCAUAAAUAAAUCUUCAUAUAUAUAAUGGAACAAUGAAUAAAGAACCAAUGAAAAAAUACUAUAUAUCAUUGCUUGGCAUUUAAACCGUAUAUGCUGCUCUUUCUAGCUACUCCAUCCACUGAAAGACAACAAGGUAAUCCAUGUUAUAAUGAUAGAAGAUACUGUCUCUAGGCUUUUUGUGAUGAAAAAUAUAAGAUAUGGGUAGGGUUGACCCUUGUAUGUUUGUCCUAUAAACACUUCAAAGUAACAUAUUUUUCUUCUUUAGCAACUCAUAAUGAUGGGGUUCAUUUGCAUGUCACUGAGUUGAAAAGUUGGACAAUUGCCCAUGUCGCCUUCCUCCUAGAUUCCGUAGUUCACGGGAAGGUAACUCAAGUUUGACAUAUUUUGAAUUCUUUUCACUCGGACGUCUUCAUAACCUGACAAAACAAAAAUGAAAAACAGAGGAUUGGUAUAUUAUUCAUGGUAAGCCUCAAAUUAUAGUAGUAUGAGAAAGGAGAAAAAGAUUUUGGGAACUCCAAUCUGGAUAAUUCUCGUUUCUUCUCUUGAAUAAAAAUUUCACUUACCUAACUUCGUUUGGAGAAAUGGCAUAUUUUAAUUUUGUACGUCAUUGCUAAUAAAUGGAGCAAUUUAGCAUGUUUUGUGACUGAAACUGCAAAUGUCCAAUUGGCAUUUCUUCAUUUCCCACUUAGGAUCUGAUCUUGUAGACCAUAUAACGAUAUGUAUCUGUGCAAGCAUUGAAAACUAAUGUGAACUAUGAGGAGUUACAAGCCACUGGACUGUAGAGCGAGUGCCAAGAUUUAAAUCUUCAGGCUCUAUCUGGGUAAGGGGAGGAUAGCGACCUAACCUUUUACCAAAGGCUUAGAAUUUAGACUUUUGGAAAAAAAUUUCUCAUGUUUUGGCUGGAUUUCUUGUGCUUGGCGCAAAAAGGAGAUGGCCUCAAGAAAUAGCAGACUCACUUUUGUUUUCAGCCCUUAAUAAUUCUCCACUGCUUUCCAUAACUACAUGGGUUAUACAUGCAGUCUGCUGCAAUAUUCCAGUUAUAUUUAUUAUUUCAAAGAGGGUGAAUGACUUCACAUGCAAUAUGUUGCAGUAACAACCCAAAUUUUGGCACACCAUCUUAAGAAUAGAAAAGUAUAAUAAAAGAAAUCAAUCAGAGAAUCACUUUGCAUGCAGUUCAUAGAGUUCGCCCAAAAUGGAGCCACAUGUACGGACAACCCCACAAUAGACAAUCUUCUCUAUACAGUAAUAAAAUACAGAAAUGGUUAAUGAAGCUCUGUAUUUCCUUAUCAUAUAUGACCGGUUGAAAACUCAGCAAGUCUUCCUCAAUCACAGACAGUUGGAGUUGCUUCAUCAAAAUCAUGCCUUCAUUACUGGCUUCAUUUUGGUUUCAAUGUCUGUUCUACCCUUAAAUUGGGUCUCUGCUUACUACCGGGAUAUCCUUUAGCGUCCUGCAAUUCUACUAGAUUAAAGAGAAUGACUUAAUUCUGCAUUCUGCCGUCCCUAGUCCAAGUGGUACUAGAAUUGAUGUUUCCUUUAGUGUCCUUUCUUCAUACUUUCAGGUUCUUCCCUUGUUUCAAUAAUGCUGUUUUCCUUCAUGUUUAACCUCUGUUGAACCACUUAAAACAACACAAUUUGCACACCAAUGUUUCUUUACAGAAAAGACUGUUUGCAAAAAUGCACAUGUUAUAAGGUUAAUGGAAGAAUUAAUUUGGGGAUAAGGGACUAGGAUUGGGCCAAUGAAGUUUGGUGUUAAAUUUUGAUUAUGAUUGCUUUUCAUUAUCAGGUACCUUAUAUUUGCUGAUGCUAUCUGGAACUAAAUUCAAAUCAGACAUUAUCCGAUUACUAACAGGACAUAUCAUGUCCCUCUGCAGAGUUUCUAAACUAACAUGUAUCGAAAUGUGGCCCCAAAAGGAAGGCUAGGAAGAUGGAGGAUUUUGUAGGAAUCGACCAGAAUCAGAUGGAAGAGAGAUAGUCCUGUUGACUUUAAUGGUUGUGAUAGGAACAUGCAUCAUUAUAUGAGAAGUUGCAUGAAUUUAUGUAUCCUGUUAUCGUUCCUUGACGAUUUCCCAAUGCAAUUUCACUGUCCACAAGACUAACCUCUCCAUGCAGUCAAAUGAAUUGUAAUUUCUCUAUUGGUACCAGUAGUACAUUUCAUACCAAACAUAUAGUAAAUAUAAAAUAUAAAUAGAUCAAGGAAAUCUGAAUUGUAGAUAGCACUGCAAGUAACACUCAAUAUUCUCUAUAUAUAAUAAAAUAAACAGUGUCACAAUACUCAUCACCCAGUGGCAAGGGAGAAAAACCUACAAUGAGUACUCAAAUCACCAUUCUCAAACAGAAACAUAGCAGUGACUGAUACAUAGAACCUAUAUGCUCACAGGGAAAGAAUAAGAUGACCAGUGCACAGCGGGCAGCAGCUCUUAUUUUACGUACAACUCAAAUCCCAAACUAACCAAAGUCGCUCAGUUGGGAUGGGUGGGAGAUGGUGGUUUGUGGGAUGGCUUCUGGGUAGGAGCUGGUGGCUUCUGUCCCUUUGGUGGUUUGCCUAAUGAGCUUGGUGGCUUGUGCUCCGGGAGUUGUUUCUCUCCCUCGAGUAGGUUUCGAGUCUUGUCAGAUGGCUUGUGUUCUGGUGGUGGCUUCUCUCCCUGGGGUGGUUUGCCGAAUGGGCUUGGUGGCUUGUGUUCGGGGAGUGGCUUCUCUCCCUGGAGAAGGUUACGAGUUUUGUCAUAUGGCUUUUGUUCUGGUGGUGGCUUCUCUCCCUGGGGUGGUUUGCCGAAUGGGCUUGGUGGCUUGUGUUCGGGGAGUGGCUUCUCUCCCUGGAGAAGGUUACGAGUUUUGUCAGAUGGCUUGUGUUCUGGUGGUGGCUUCUCUCCCUGGGGUGGUUUGCCGAAUGGGCUUGGUGGCUUGUGUUCGGGGAGUGGCUUCUCUCCCUGGAGAAGGUUACGAGUUUUGUCAGAUGGCUUUUGUUCUGGUGGCGGCUUCUCUCCCUGGGGUGGUUUGCCAAAUGGGCUUGGUGGCUUGUGUUCGGGAACUGGCUUCUCUCCCUUGGGAGGUUCAGUUGGUGGCUGCUGUUCCGUAGGUGGUUUCUUCACCGGCGGCUUGUGCUCCGGAAGCGGCUUCUCUACCUGGAGAAGCUUACGAGUUUUGUCCGAUGGCUUGUGUUGUGGUGGUGGCUUCUCUCCCUGGGGUGGUUUGCCAAAUGGAGUUGGUGGCUUGUGUUCGGGGAGUGGCUUCUCUCCAUUGGGAGGUUUAGUUGGUGAUUGGUGUUCCGUAGGUGGUUUCUGAAGUGGGGGAUGCUUGGGGUAGUCAGCAAGAGACGAGGUAGUGAGAACCACCAGUCCCAGCAGCAACACUAGCAAGCAUGUGGAAGACAUCUUUGAGUUCAGGCUGAGAUCUGUGCAAGGAUAACAGAAUUAGGUGGCCUUUUAUAGAGGCCUGGACCCAACACCCAUAUGACACGUGUCAUGCACUCAUGGUGACACAUAAUUCUAUGGGACCAUUUGGGUCCUACAGAAGUUGCAAAGUUGGACUACUGAGGUGUGAUCACAACUUUUGUCCUUAUUGCUUUCUCUGCGGCCAUUGCACGAUUUCCUUUAGCAUCAUUUUCUUGGCUAAAUAAGCGUAUUAUAUUUGUGGCAGACCGUCCACGUGUCAUAAACAGAUAUAUUAUAAUAAUGUAGUAUGCUUUUCUCCAAUGGAACAUGACACUCUUCUAAGUCUUGUUUUAAAUAUUGUGCAGGAUUACUUUAUACGUUGCAGUUCCAAGUCAAAAUUGGUGGGCAAACGUUGGCCUUUUUUCAUUUCACCUAAGAUUAAUGCUCACCUGGGAUAGGCACUACAUGACUUAUCUGCUCUUUUACUGUAAAGUUGCUUUGUGUAUGAGAUACACCUCCCCUGCACACCCUCAACAUUCGUUGCUCUGUUUUCCUUGUGUCCAGACGAGGAUAUUAAUUGGAGGCUGACAAAACGACUGCUAGCCCAGGAUUUACAAGGUCCUGGUUUGAGGCUUCGGUGAAAGUAUUUUUGAAAAGACACACAUAGAGAUAGUGCGUUUGGUGCAAUGCAGCACUGUGAGCCAUUCUGACGCGUUCUUAAUUUCAAAACUAAUGAAUGCUUCAAAAUUUUAAGAAGUGACAUUUCCAAAUAUUUGAGUUCGUUUAAUUGAACAUUGGAUAACUAGUGAUCAUAGAUUAUUAUCUGUGCUUGGCACUAUAAGAGGGUAUAUGCUUCUUUUUCUGGCCCCUCCUUCAAGGGAGGAGGGACAAUGUGAUCUGUAACGUUAGAAGCUAUUCCAUGUCAUCUUUGGGCUCAGUUCAAAACUAAAAGAUAAUGGGGGGGGGGGGGGGGGGCAUAUCAUUUUAUAUUUCUUCUAGAAGGUUUGUUCUGGAAAUAUUUCACAGGAGCAUAUCUUUUUCUUCUAUUACGUCAUCCGCAGCCUCCAAUAGGUCGGUUAACAAGCCACCGAGUUGAAAAGUUGGAAAAAUGGGAACACAGCCCGCCUCUUGUAUUCAGUAGUUAAAUAAAAGGUCACUAGAAGUGAGAUCCCUUUUGGCGUCUUGAUUUUCAAUCCAGCACCUCUGUGACCUGACAAACCAAAAAAACUAAAAAAUAAAAAACAGUACGUGGGUUGGUGUUAAGCAUCAAGACAUGUUAAUGAAAGAAGGUAGAGAAUAGGAUAUUGAAAUCCCAAUCCUGAUAACAUGAUUUUCUUUGCUAACAACCAUAUUAUAUUUUAUCAAGAAAGAGUAAUGCAUGUGGCGUCCAUCAAGACCCAUUAGAGUUCCGCUAAAGCUAUAGUUCUGUCAACGUUAUCAUUUACGUUUCCUCUAGAUAAUGGCAUUUUCCUCUAAAGCUCUUGCACCAUUAGGCUUCAAGUCAAAAUUUCACAUGUGAACUUUGGAAAUUUUCUCCAUUUGCCCCUAAGGAUACAGUUAGAAUUGACUUAAAAUCCUGAUUGAUAUGUACUAUUAACCAAAGAAUAUUGUAUAUAAUAAUUGAAAUAUUGUUGAUUCAUCGUGGAAAUACAUUUUGUAAGGAAAGUUGUUGAGAAUUUAGUAUGCUAUAUGGAGAAAAAAGUCAUGACUUAAGGUUGUGUAUGUAUAUUCUAUAUCAAAUAUUAGGUAGGAAUGUGGGAAAGAGCAGAGUGUAAUGAUAAGAAACAAAGAAAUAUAAGAUAUUCUUGAAAGUGGAAAAUAUAAAAUGGCUAACGAGUCAAAUUUAUGAUGCGUAAGGGGGAUCAUGUCACAUAAGAAAACCAUGGCAUACUAAAGACGUACGUGUGGUAUGGAGUAAUAAUUUUGUUAAAAUAAGUUUCUUGUUGGAGUACAUUAGGUGACUAUUCAUAACGUAUCAAAUUAAAGAGUCAAGUGCAUCAAUGAAGGCAUAUGUAGAAAAUUUGUUUGUGACAUGUACCAUAAAGAUAAGAUUGACUUGAUAGAAUUUAGUCUAAGUAGGAGUUGUUAAAGGUGUCUUAAAUUUCUAAUUGAUGUAUAUUUUUUUCUAAAAAAAUAUUAUAUAGAUAUUUUAAUAAAUGAUUAAUUCUUUGUAAAAAUACUUACAUAAUAAAAAACAUCAUUAAAAAUAUCUUUAUAAAUAUUUUAAGUUACAAGAAGGAAAAAAACCACUGUGAGAUAAUGAUGAACAUGCAACACUGUACCAAGUAAAUAAAAAUGUGAUAAAAAAAAAAGAGAAACACUCGAUAAAGGAAGGCUCGUAUAUAAAGAGUAAUAUUUUUAAUCAUAUGAUAGAAUGAUUUUCUCUCAUUCAUGAAUAUAGGCAAGAUUGGGGAACCAUUAUAAAAUUUUGUACACCUCGUGUAAAUUGAUGUUUGUCUUCAUAUUUUACACCAACAAAUGACAUUGAAGUUGUCAUUGAUAAAAGGGAAAAGGCAUGCCUCCACACCAUGUGCUUGAUUCGAAUGGUUCAAGUUUGAAGAAUUUUCUCCGGAAGAUCUAAAACAUUUUCGCCUUUAAAUUUCAUUUGAUUAUUAAUAUCCGAAAAAAUAGUUAAAUACUCUUUCUAUUUUUGAGUUGUUGAAUUUUUUGAAAGUUUUUAUAUUUGUUAUCAAGAAUUUCUAUUUUAUUAAGGGUGAAUAUUUAUAAAUAAGAUAUUAUAUAAUAUUUGGAUAAGAGAGAAUGGUGGAAUAUAAUAAAGUUUUAAUCCUUCCCAAUUUUGAACCUUUUUUUUUUUUUUUGAUAUAAUCGCCUUUCUCUUGCAAUCCUAUUAUCAGGUACCUUAUAUUUGCUGAUGCUAUCUGGAACUAAAUUCCAAUCAGGCAUUGUCCAAUUACUAAUAGGACAGAUCAUAUCUCUCUGUUUCUAAACUAACAUGUAUCGUAAUGUGACCUCAUAAGGAAGGCUAGGAAGAUGGAGGAUUUUGUGGGAAGCGACCAGAAUCAGAUGGAAGAGAGAUAGCCCUGUUGACCUAAUGGCUGUAAUAGGAGAAGCGUGUGGUUUUAUGGGACUUAACUGAUACUAAACCUGUAUGAUGCUUGGAGUGGUGUUUCUUUCAUUUUGUUAAGAAAAUAUGGCAGCAUACAUGCUUUCAACUGAGUGCAUCAGAGCAUCCAUAACAGAUGGUCUGCAACCCUAGGUGCAUGCCACUUUCUGACUGAUAAUGAAAUUGUCAGGUACCUGGCCUUGACUAAGCUCAACAGCAUCACAUAAAGAGAAGCUUUCAUACUUAGAUUACUGUUUAAAGUUUUUGCUUAUUUGAUUUCUUAAUGCCAUUAUGACAUUAUUGAUUCAAUUCUGCUUCCGAUUUUCGAAGUUCUGGGCAUCUACUGAUUGCAUCAUUAUAUGAGAAGUUGCAUGAGUUUAUGUAUCCUGUUAUUGUUCCUUUGCGAUUUCACUGCUCACGGGACUAACCUCUCCAUUCAGUCGAAAUGAAUUGUAAUUUCUUUACUGGUAGCAGUAGUACUUUUCAUAGCAAAGAUAAUAGAAAAUAUGAAAUAUAAAUAGAAGGAAAUCUGGAUUGUAGAUAGCACCAUAAGUAACACUCAAUAUUCACUACAUAAUAAAUAGACAGUGUUACAUAGGUAGAGAAACCUACAAUGAGUACUCAUCACCAUUCUCAAACAGAAACAUAGCAGCGACUUAUACAUAGAACCUAUAGGCUCGCAGGGAAAGAGUAACAUGAUAAGUUCACAGCGGGUAGCAGCUCUUAUUUUACGUAUUACUCAAAAUCUCAAACUAACCAAAGUCACUCAGUUGGGAUGGGUAGGAGAUGGUGGUUUGUGGGGUGGCUUCUGGGUAGGAGCUGGUGGCUUCUUUGUUGGAGUUGAAGGAGGCAUAUUCUUCUGAGGUGGCUUGUAUGACUCUUCGGCACUCUCUGCAGGAGGGUGCCCAGGGUUGUGACCAGAAGGAGGUGGCUUCUGUCCCUUUGGUGGUUUGCCUAAUGGGCUUGGUGGCUUGUGCUCCGGGAGUUGUUUCUCUCCCUCGAGUAGGUUUCGAGUUUUGUCAGAUGGCUUGUGUUCUGGUGGUGGCUUCUCUCCCUGGGGUGGUUUGCCGAAUGGGCUUGGUGGCUUGUGUUCGGGGAGUGGCUUCUCUCCCUGGAGAAGGUUACGAGUUUUGUCAGAUGGCUUUUGUUCUGGUGGCGGCUUCUCUCCCUGGGGUGGUUUGCCAAAUGGGCUUGGUGGCUUGUGUUCGGGAACUGGCUUCUCUCCCUUGGGAGGUUCAUUUGGUGGCUGGUGUUCCGUAGGUGGUUCCUUCACCGGCGGCUUGUGCUCCGGAAGCGGCUUCUCUACCUGGAGAAGCUUACGAGUUUUGUCAGAUGGCUUGUGUUGUGGUGGUGGCUUCUCUCCCGGGGGUGGUUUGCCAAAUGGACUUGGUGGCUUGUGUUCGGGGAGUGGCUUCUCUCCAUGGGGAGGUUUAGUUGGUGGUUGGUGUUGCGUAGGUGGUUUCUGAAGUGGGGGAUGCUUGGGGUAGUCAGCAAUAGACGAGGUAGUGAGAACCACCAGUCCCAACAGCAACACUAGCAAGGAUGUUGAAGACAUCUUUGAGUUCAGGCUGAGAUCUGUGCAAGGAUAAAAGAUUUAGGUGGCCUUUUAUAGAGGGCUGGACCCAACACCCAUAUGACACGUGUCAUGCACUCAUGGUGACACAUAAUUCUAUGGGACCAUUUGGGUCCUACAGAAGUUGCAAAGUUGGACUAUUGAGGUGUGAUCACAACUUUUGUCCUACUUGCUUUCUCUGCGGCCAUUGCACGAUUUCCUUUAGCAUCAUUUUCUUGUCUAAAUAAGCGUAUUAUAUUUGUGGCAGACCGUCCACGUGUCAUAAACAGAUAUAUUAUAAUAAUGUAGUAUGCUUUUCUUCAACGGAACUUGACACUCUUCUAAGUCUUGUUUUAAAUACUGUGCAGGAUUACGUCAUAAGUUGCUUGUUCCAAGUCAAAAUUGGUGGGCAAACGUUGGCCUUUUUUCAUUUUCCCUAAUAUUAAUGCUCACCUGGGAUAGGCACUACAUGAUUUAUCUGCUCUUUUACUGUGAAGUUGCUUUGUGCAUGAGUUACACCUCCCCUGCACACCCUCAACAUUUGUUGCUCUGUUUUUCUUGUGUCCAGACGAGGAUAUUAAUUGGAGGCUGACAAAACGACUGCUAGCCAAGGAUUUACAAGGUCCUGGUUUGAGGCUUUCACGAAAGUAUUUUUGAAAAGAUACACAUAGAGAUUGCGCGUUCGGUGCAAUGCAACAAUGUGAGCCAUUCUGAAGUCUUAAAUUUCAGAUUAAUGAAUGCUACAAAAUUCUAAGAAGGGCCGUUUCCAAAUAUUUGAGUUCAUUCAUCCGAACAUCGGGUAUAUGCUUCUUUCUCUAGCCCCUCCUUGAAGGGAGGAGGGACAAUGUGAUCUGUAUCGUUAGAAGCUAUUCCAUGUCGUCAUCUUUGGGCUCAGUUCAAUACUAAAAGAUAUGGGCGGGGCCCUUAUCAUUUUAUAUUUCUUCUAGAAGGUUUAUUCUGGAAAUCUUUCACAGAAACAUAUCUUUUUCUUCUCUACGUGAUCCGUGGUUUGAAAGUUGGAAAAAUGGGUCCGUUAACAAGCCACCGAGUUGAAAAGUUGGAAAAAUGGCAACACCGCCAACCUCUUGUAUUCGAUAGUUAAAUAAAAGGUCACUGGAAGUGAGAUCCCUUUUGGCCUCUUGAUUUUCAUUCCAGCAUCUCUAUGGCCUGAUAAAUUAAAAAACUAAAAAAAAAGACAGUACGUGGGUUGGUGUUAAGCAUCAAGAGUCAAGACAUGAUAAUGGAGAGAAAGGAUAUUCAAAUUCCAGUUCUGACAACAUGAUUUUCUUUGCUGAACUACCAUAUUAUAUUUGAUCAAGAAAGAGUAGUGCAUGUGGCCAGGAUCAAGACAUACAUUAAUUUCCACAUGAUGAAGACAGUUUCUGAGAGUUUCUUCUAAAGCUCUUGCGCGAGUAGGCUUCAAGUCAAAAUCUCCCAUGUAAACACUGGUUUUUCUUUCAUUGCCACUAAGGAUGCAGUUAAUAUUGACUUAAGAUCCUACGUGAUAUAUUUUUUUAAAAGAGCUAUAUUGUAGAUAAUAUUUGAAAUAAUGUUGAUUCGUUGUGGAAAUAUAUUUGUAAGGAAAGUUGUUGACAAUUUAAUAUAGUAUAAGAAGAAAAAAGUUAUCAACUAGCUAGAGAUGAGUAUGUAAAGUGAGGCUCACGAUUCAACGCGUAAAUAUAAGAUAUUUUAAGGCUCAAUAGUUAUGAUAUCUAUUUUAUUUUUUGUAUCUCAUAUAUUCAAAGAUAUAGUAAAAUGAUUUUACAUAUAUAUAUAUAUAUAUAUAUGAACAUAACUAUUUGUGCCAAUUGAUUUUUAUCUUUAUUUUGUAUAUUAGUAAUUAUAUUAAAGUUUUUACUAAUAUAAUAACUAAUAUAAAAGCUUUUUCUAAAAGAGUCAACAGAGCAAAACACUUAUUAUAAAAAAUAAUUUUGAUUGAAGGUGGAGUCAAUUAUUCUUUAUUUAACAUGUAAUGCAUACGGCGUGUACUUCAUAACUAAAGUAUAUAAGUGUAACAUCUCUUAUAUAUUCUCAUUCAAUCUCGAAAGUGGAAAUUUUAAAAAGAUUAAACGGUUCAAAUUUGUCGUGCAUAAAGGGGAUCAUGUCACAUAAGCAAACCAUGGCAUACCAAAGACAUAGGUAUGGACUAAGAAUUUUUUUCAAAUAAGUUUCUUAUUAGGGUACAUUAAUAGGUGACUUUUUAUGACAUAUCAAAGGAGUCAAGUGCACCAAUAAAAACAUAUAUAGAAAAUUCAUGCAUGACAUGUAUCACUAAGAGAAGAUUGACUUGAUAGAGUUUAAUCCAAAUAGGAGAUUGUUAAAAGGUGUCUCAAAUUCUUGAUUGAUAUAUAUUUUUUUUAUUAAAAAGGUUAUUAUAUAGAUAUUUCAAUAGACUAUUAAUUCUUUGUAAAAAUAGUUAUAUAAUGAGGAUGGUGAUUAAAAAUAUCUCUAUCAAUAUUUUGGAUUAUAAAAAGAAAAAAAAUGAGAUAAUGAUAAACAUAUAAAACUUGUACAAGUAGAUAAAGAUGUGAUGAAAGACACUUGAUGAAUGAAGGCUUUGUAUUUCAAGAUAUAAAUAUAUGGAGCAAAACUCUUAAUUAUAUGAUCAAAUGAUUCUCUCAUAUUCAUGAAUAUAAGCAGGAUUGGGGAACCAUGAUAGAAUCUUAUAUGCCUCUCCAUGUAGAGUGAUCGAUGUUUAUCUUCAUAUUUUACACCAGUGAAUGACAUUGAAACUCUUAUUGAUAAAAGGGAAAAGGCAUGGCCUCCACCCCAAGAAAAACAAGUAACCUCGGUUUAAAUCACUAGUCUACACCCCGAAGAGAGAACUAGCCAAACCUACUAAAAGAGAAACUUAACAAUUUAGAAAGAAACCGUCCAUGAUAAAGGGCCCCUAAAGGUCCAAUUCAGUGAGGUCGUGAACAAAAACACUUUCAUGUCAAAACAGAGAUAGGUACCACCAAAAUGUAAAGGGAAAGAUGUAAACCACGUCGAACUUUGGUAAUCAAUGGUAAAGAUAGCAUGAUAGCUAAAAGCACUAAAGCUGUGCUUGGUAUGCAAAAAUGAAAAGUGGAAAUCAGCGUCUUAUUCUUUUUCACCUUUAUUCACAUAUUAGGAUAACUAAUAUCUAAUGUUUUUUAUGUCUCAAAUUCUAUUCCAUGUUAUGGUAAACUUUCAUCUUGUUUAGAUCACUUUUGUCUGGUUUGGGCUCAAGACGAUAAGCCUAUAGAGACUUCAUAUUGGGUUGAAUCGAUGCCCUUGAUCUGAUCUGUUCGUUAGAAAAAUCUGAAUUAUUAUAAGCAUUUAGAUAAAAAAUAAAUAAAUGUGAAACACAAACUACUCCCUGCACAACCUUGACCCUAGUUACUCAGUUUCACUGCUCACAGGACUAACCUCUCCAUUCAGUCGAAAUGAAUUGUAACAAGAAGAUUUUUGACAGGAGGACGGUAGUUUAAAAUAAUAAUUUCUAAAGUACUUUUGUGAAAAAAAAUAAUUCCAAACGUGGAUUUUAUCAAGUAAAAAGAAAAAAAAAAGUUAUUUUCUUUUAAAAUCUGUUCUUCUAAAGAUGAUAUAUAUACCAAAAAAAAAAAUUGUUUUCUGAAGGUAAAAUUUUUAAAAUUCAUUUUUAAAAAAAUUUACACACUAAAAUUAUCUUUUCAAGAGAAGAUUUUUUUAAUUUUAAAUAAUUAUUAAUUUAUAAUUAAUUUGUUAUUAAUUAUUUAUUAAUUUUUUUAUUUGAAAAAUGCAUUUAUAAAAAACAAAUUUGUUAUUAAUUUAUUAAAUAAUUUUUACAAAAUAAAUAAUUUUUUUUUAUUUUAAUUUUAAAAUUAAUUUUAUUAUAUAAAUUUUAAAAUUAAAAAUAUUAAUAUUUAAUUUAAAAUUUAACUAUAAAAGGAAUAAAAUAUAGAAAAAUAAAUUAAUUUAUUAUUCAAUAAAUUAAUUUUCAAUAAAAUUUUCAGCAUUAAGAGAUAAAUUUUUAAGUAUUAAUCAAUUUAAAAAGAAAUAAUGAUCAUUUGUAUAUUAAGAUAUUUUAUUUAGUAAUUAUGAAUGAUAAACAACUAAAGUAAUUUGAAAAAAUAAUAAAAUAUUUAAAAAAUAAUAAUUUAAUACACGUAAAAUUAGAAAUGAUUAACUAUUUUUUAUUAAGAAAAAAUUGAGGAAAUAUUUUGUUAUUUAAAAUUUUUUAUUUGUUUUCAAUUUUUAAUGUUAUAGGUUUCAAGAAAAUUGAUCAAAUAAAAAUUAAGAAGUCAUUUUUUCAAAAACUAUAUAUCUAAAUAAAAGCCUUGAAAUUCAAAUACACAAUAUCAUAAAUAUAAACACCAAGUCAAUCCUUAAUUAUCAAAUGUUUUUAAUAUUAAAGAAUCAAAAUCACCUACUAUCAUGAUAAUAAGAAAACCAAUAAUAUUGUUCAUAUAAAUACUAAAAAGCUAACAAAUAUCCCAAACAAUUAAUAAAGUAUCAAACAUGAUAAAAAGUCAAUUAUUAUCAUGAAUGCAAAAAAUCAAUAAUUUUGUUUAUAUGAACCAUCAACAAAGAAAAAAAAAAUCAAUAUCUAAAUAUUAAACAUAAUUUAUAUUUUUAUAAAUAUUAUUGUUGAUAAAUAUCUUAACAAUUAUAAUUUUAGUAAAUAAAAUUAAUUAAUUUUAGUUUAAGAAUUAUUUUUUUAUACUUUCGUAUUCUUAUCAAAAAUCCCCAUUUUGCAUGUCUCCUUUGGCAUGACUUUCUUACCUAAACAAGCAUAUAUAUAUAUAUAUAUAUAUAAAAUAUUUGGUUAAGAAAGAGUACUAAAGUUUAUAUGGCACACAUCAAGAUAGAAACAGAAGUGGAAGAUAAUCCAAAUGUAUGAACAGAUAUAUUAUAUCCAUGUAGUGGUAGUGACUUCAUUAUUUACUUUUAUCUAAUGGAGCAUGACACACUUCUUCUGAAUAUUUUGCACGAUUAUGUUAUGUGUCAGCUUGUUCUAAGUCAAAACUAGUGAUAAAAAUCGGUUUUUUUUGCAUUUCCUUCAUGAAGAUGGCACCUGGAUGGGGCACUACAUGAGUGGCAUAGCACGAAGUGAUUUAUCUGCUCCCUUUACUAUAAAGUGCUUUGUGUAUAAGUUACACCUCCCCUGCACUGCCUCAACAUUUGUUGUUCUGUCUUCCGUCUGUCCAAACGAGGACAAACGUAUGUUGUAGGUUGACAAAACCACAGCUAGCCUAGGAUUUGCAAGGAUCUAGUUUGAUUCGUAUGCAAAAGGAUUGGUGAAAAGAUUCACAAAGAUAAUGCUUUUUGCAAUGCAAUCUUGUUCUAAUUCAACAGUGUGGACCAUUUUCAUGUAAUGCUUCAACUAGAUGUCAGUUUCAUGAAUUUUUGUUCAUCUAAUUGAUCACUGGAUAGGCCAUAACCCGAAGAAAUUCAAAAUUCCCUUCAGUACUGUAGCUAAGGAAAGAUCCCUAUCUACCACUGGGAUUUUAAGAGGGUAAAAAUGUAGGUGGGUGCCUAUAUCAUUUGCACUUCACUAUAGGCCUCUUUGGGAAGAUUUCUUCUGAAGACAUUUCAAAGAAACAUAUUUUUCUCUUCUCUCCGUAAACGGCAGCUGCAAGUCAGUCCAUUCACAGGCCACCGAGUUGAAAAGGCUGGAAAAUUGGCCAAAGCACCCGCCUCCUGGAUUCCAUGGGUAAGGAAAAGGUCACUGGAGGUGUGAUCCCUGUUGGCCUCUUGAUUUCCAUUCCGCCAUCUAUAUGACCUGAUAACCCAAAAACACAGAAGGAAAACGUCACCUGGGUUCAUAGUAAGCAUCAAGUCAUGAUAGAGACCAGACAACAUGACCAACAAAGAGUAGCGAAUGGGGCCAACAUCAAGCCCCAUUACGGUUAGAAGAUGGAAGAAGUAGAAGACAAUCCAAUUCUGAUAGAUUCGGGCAAAUGUAGUGCUGUUCAAACUUAAUCAUUUACUAUUUCUUCAUGAAUCACGGCAUUUUUCUUCUGAAAAUUUUCCAAGAUUAGGCCUCUGAAGAAAAAUUUCAUAUGUAAAUUGGUAUAUUAAGGAAAAGGCGUUACAAAGGUGAAAAAAAACCAAUCAAAUCUUAUAUAUGACAUCUCAAAAAUAUGAACUUGCUAUAAAUAUUUAAAAUCAAAAUCUUGCACAUCACCUCGUAGUACGAACUUGCUAUAAAACUUGAAAAUCAAGAAGAAAGGGGCAGUAUUGGACGAGACUACUUAGCACAUAUUAUUAUGAUGUUUUUUCAUUUUCUUAAUGUUGUUUUUAUGUCUUAAAUUCUAUUAUUCUAUGUUACGGUAAACAUUCAUCUUGUUUGUGUGGAAUAGGAUCACUUUUCUCUGGGUUGAGUCGAUGCCCUUAGUUAAUUUGUUCAUUUGAAUAAACUAAAUUAUUAUAAGUAUUUAGAUAAGAAAAACGUGAUACAUAAAUUACGCCUCUCGGCACAACUUCAACACUGGUUACUCUGUUUCAGUUUCCUCACACAAGAUUAUUGGUUCUAGGGUUUAUUUGGUUUUGGUUUGAUUCUAAUUGCUAAACUUUCUCAAGGAAGAUGUUAUAUAGGGAGUGAGAAACCUUCACUCUUGGCUACCUCCAAGAGAAGAGCAAGUGGUCUGAAUCAAAGAUAUACUGCUCACUUUUUCUUCUUCUAAGGACAGCUAUGACCUUGCUUUAAGGUUCGAAUAGCCUAAUGCAACCUCCCAUUUCUCAAGUCAGCUGAUGAUGUAAGUCACCUUGGCUUUCCACAUUCAUACGGUGAGGACGUUUGUGGGUGUAAUUCUCUUAACAGUUUUCAUUUUAUAUGGAAAAAUUCAUAAUUAAGGGUAAUUACUGAUUCCAUUUGACAGUGACCAAGUUUAAAAUAUUAAUUCAUAUAUUAAAUGCACAUUAAAAAAUCAUGGAAUAAAUAUAUUUACUAAUAUAUAGUUCUUUUGCCAUGUUCUGUCACAGAAGCAUCGAACUUUCCCUAGAAAUUUUUGCAUGGUAUUCUACUUAUGAUUUUGAAAACUCUAGGCACCUGAGGCCACUAAUUGCAUGGUUGGAUGAGGAGCUGCAUGAGAUUAUGUAUCGUGUUGUUCCUUAACUACAAAUAUCAGUUUUAAGUAGCAUCUCCAUGUGACAUUUUCCUGAUGCAAUUUCGCUGUCCACCAACAAAUUUCACCAUGCAGCAAGAUGAAUUGUAAUUUCUUUAUUGUUAUCAACAGCUUUAAUUAAUCUUGAUAUAUAUAUAUAACUUAGUAGAAGUAUAUUAAUCUAGAUUGUAGUUGCACUAAGAUAAUAGGCAAUAUUAUAACAGUGCCACAAUGCUCAUCGCCAAAUAGAAAGGUAGAAAAACUACAAUGAGUAACUCACAACAUUCUCAAACAGGACAUAGCGGCGACUGAUACAUAGAACACUAUUGGCACUCAGGAAAUGAUAAGAUCAGUGCCCAGCAGGCAGCACGUCUUAUUUUACAUACUACUUAAAACUAACCAAAGUCAUUCAGUUGGGAUGGGUGGGAGAUGGUGGUUUGUGCGGUGGCUUUUGGGUAGUUGGUGGCUUCUUUCCUGGAACUGAUGGUUUUUUUGUUGGAGUUGAAGGAGGCUUAAUCGUCUGAGGUGGCUUGUAUGAGUCUUCAGCACUCUCUGCGGGAGGGUGCCCAGGGUUGUGACCAUAAUGGGGUGGCUUCUCUCCCUUAGUUGGUUUGCCAAGUGGGCUGGCUGGCUUGUGCUCCGGGAGCGGCUUCUCUCCCUUAGGUGGUUUGCCAAAUGGGCUUGCUGGCUUGUGCUCUGGGAGCGGCUUCUCUCCCUCAAGAAGUUUACGGGUUUUGUCAGAUGGCUUGUGUUCUGGUGGUGGCUUCUCUCCUUGGGGUGGUUUGCCAAAUGGACUUGGUGGCUUGUGUUCGGGGAGUGGCUCCUCUCCCUUGGGAGGUUUAGUUGGUGGCUGGUGUUCCAUAGGUGGUUUCUCAACCGGGGGCUUGUUCUCCGUUGGUGGUUUAUGAACUGGGGGAUGCUUGGGGUAGUCAGCAAGAGACGGGGUGGUGAGAACCACCAGUCCCAGCAGCAACACUAGCAAGUAUGUGGAAGAGUACAUCUUUGAGUUCAGGCUGAGAUUUGUGCGAGACUUGAAGAAUUAGGUGGCCUUUUAUAGCUGGCUGCACCCAACACUCACAUGACACGUAUCAUGGUGACACAUGUGCUAUGGGUCCAUUUGGGUCCUACAGAAGCUGAAAACUUUUGACUAUUGAGGUGUGGUCACAACUUUUGUCCCUAUUGCUUUCUCCGCAACCGUUUUACAUGUUUCCUUUGGCAUAAUUUUCUAAGCUAAACAAGCAUAUAUCAUAUUUGGUUAAGAAAGAGUAAAGUGUAUAUGGCACACAUCAAGGAAGAGAAACAGAAAAAGUGGGAGACAAUCAAUUGUGAUAAACAGAUAUAUUAUAUUCAUGUAGUACUAGUGACUUUAUCAUUUACUUUUAUCCAAUAGAUCAUCACUCUUUCUUCUAAAUAUUUUGGAGGAUAAUGGUACAUGUUGCUUGUUUCCAAGUCAAAAUUGGUGGCAAAAAUCGGCAUGAUACGAAAGGAUUGGUGAAAAGAUUCACAUAGAUGGUGCUUUGUGCAAUGCAGUCUUGCUCUAAUUCAACAGAGUGGACCAUGGUGAUGUAUUUUAAAUUUUAAAUUUUAAAUUAAUGCAUGCUUCAAAGUUUUAACUAGAUGUCACUUCCAUGGAUUUUUGUUCAUUUAAUUGAGCACAGGAUAGGCUAUCAAACUUGAAGUAAUAUAAAAAUCCCUUCAUUACUGUAACUAAUGAAAGAUCAUUAUCUGCGCUUGGUAUUUUGCCAAGGUAUUUGCUGCUCUUUCUAGCCCUGUCUUACAGUUAAGGACAAUGUGAUCUAGUUAACCUUAGAAGCUAUUCCAUGUCAGAUACAAGAGAUCAAGCACAUUAUCUUUGGGCUCAGUUCAAAACUAUAAUAUAUGGGUGGGGUGGAGGCCCAUAUCAUUUGCAUAUCACCACUAUUGGUUUAGUUUGGAAGGUUUCUUCUGGAAGAUUGCUGCUUUCUGGAAUCAUUUCAAAGAAAUAUAUCUUUUUGUUCUCUUGGUGACGAGCAGCGGCAAUCAAGUCUGUUGACAAACAACCGAGUUGAAAAGUUUGAAAAUUGGUCACAGCCCACGUCCAUGGUUAAGGAAAAGGUCACUGGAAGUGAUCCCUUCUGGGCCUCUUGAUUUCCAUUCUGACAUCUAUAUGACCUGAUAAAUAGAAAGAAAAAAAAACAGAAGAAAAGCGGCACCCGGGUUCAUAGUAAGCAUCAAGACAGGAUACUGAAAGAAGGGAGAAAGGAGAUUGCAAGUCCAAUCCUGAUAAAAUGAUCAACAAAGAGUAUCAAAAUGGGGCCAACAUAAAGACCCAUUGAGGUUAGCAGAUGGCAUGGCAUUUUUCUCCUUAAGUUUUCCAUGAUUAGACUUGAAGUCAAAAUUUCACAUGUAAAUUUGUAUUUCUACAUUUCCCACUGACGACACCCAACUUCAACUUGAGUUAGAAUAACAUUGUGUGAACUUAUCUGGCCCUCAAAAUUUACUGUGAAGUGCUUUCUGCGUGUGAAGAUUCAGAAAAGCACCAAGGGAACAUGUAUGGUCUGCCUUUUUCUGAUGUUAUGUUUGUCUCUAAUUCUGUUCCAUGUCAUGGUAAAUGUUCACAUUGCUUGUAUGGAACACACCAGGAUCACUUUUUCGGGUUUAUUUUGAGGCUUCAUAUUGGGUUCAUAUUGGGUUCAAUGCUUUUAAUGUGUUCAUUAGACAAAUCUGAAUUAUCAUAUGCAUUUAGAUAAGAACAAUAAUGUGAAACCCUAGUUACACCUCCCCUGCAUAACCCCAACCCUGCUUACUCUAUUUCAGUUUACUCACACAAGUUUUACCGGUUCUUAUAAGUCAAGAAAAGGCAACUGAUGUUGGAUUGACUCUCUUCCAUGUAUAAAAAGCAACUUUUAUAUAUACAUAAAAUAACUUCUUCCCCUCACCAAUGUGGGAUAUCAUGGAUUUAUUCUGGAAACACAUCAAAGGAACAUCUUUUCUCUUGGGUGACCCUAAGUGGUGAGUCAGACCAUUUGCAUGCCAUUGAGUUGCACAGUUGGAUAAAUGCACCUACCUCCUGGGCUCCAGAGUUAAAAGGGUGGAUCCCUGGAUCGCAACCCUCUUGGCAUCUUGGUUUCCAUUCCAACAUCCACAUGACUUGACAAAACAAAAAACAGAAUAAAAUCAUCACUAUUUUCAUGCUAAGCACCAAUACAUGAUGGAAAUCAUUGCUUAAAGAUUUGGGGUCAUUUAGGUUUUGACUGCCUCCUAACACCUCACCUAAUCACAAGUUUUUAUGCUUACAAAUCAAAUAUCGUUCUUCAUUAUAUUAAAAUCAUUUUAAGAUUUCAGAUCCAUCUGCUAAUUAUGAUUAUGAUAACAUUAAUUCACCUGUGCUUCUCAUUUUCGACACACAAGGCAUCUAGGUUUGCAGGAUUUCCUUAUUAGAUGAGAUAAAUGAGUACGCAUGGUUAUGUAUGCAGCAUUCAUUAACCAUGGUAUGUGACAUUUAGAAUUAAGAUAGCAAGCAAACUUUCCCUGCAGCUUGAGUAAAUUGUGAUUUCUUAGCCUCUAUGAGUGGUUCCCAAAUCAAAUUAACAUAGUGAAAUAUACGUAGUCCAGUGAAAGGAAAUGUAAAUUAUAAACUAACAGCACUACACUACUGGUAACACUCGAUACUCUCUAUAUAAUGCAAUGAAAUAUACGUUAUACGUUGCUUGUUCCAAGUCAAAAUUUGUGGCCAAACGUUGGCCUUUUUUCAUUUUCCCUAAGAUUAAUGCUCACCUGGGAUAGGCACUACAUGAUUUAUCUGCUCUUUUACUGUAAAGUUGCUUUGUGUAUGAGUUACACCUCCCCUGCACACCCUCAACAUUUGUUGCUCUGUUUUCCUUGUGUCCAGACGAGGAUAUUAAGUGGGGGCUGACAAAACGACUGCUAGCCAAGGAUUUACAAGGUCCUGGUUUGACGCUUCCGCGAAAGUAUUUUUGAAAAUAUACACAUAGAGAUUGCGCGUUCGGUGCAAUGCAACAAUGUGAGCCAUUCUGAAGUUUUUAAUUUCAGAUUAAUGAAUGCUACAAAAUUCUAAGAAGGGCCGUUUCCAAAUAUUUGAGUUCAUUUAUCCGAACAUCGGAUAAGUAAUGAUCAUAGAUUAUUAUUAUUAUCUGACGUUCUUAUAAUGGUUGGCAUUAUAAGAGGGUAUAUGCUUCUUUCUCUAGCCCCUCCUUCAAGGGAGGGACAAUGUGAUCUGUAUCGUUAGAAGCUAUUCCAUGUCGUCAUCUUUUGGCUUAAGUCAAUACUAAAAUAUAUGGGCGGGGCCCCUGUCAUUUUAUAUUUCUUCUAGAAGGUUUGUUCUGGAAAUCUUUCACCGAAACAUAUCUUUUUCUUCUCUACGUGAUCCGUGGUUGGAAAGUUAGAAAAAUGGGUCCGUUCACAAGCCACCGAGUUGAAAAGUUGGAAAAAUGGCAACACCGCCAACCUCUUGUAUUCGAUAGUUAAAUAAAAGGUCACUGGAAGUGAGAUCCCUUUUGGCCUCUUGAUUUUCAUCCCAGCAUCUCUAUGUCCUGAUAAACUAAAAAACUAAAAAAAAAACAGUACGUGGGUUGGUGUUAAGCAUCAAGAGUCAAGACAUGAUAAUGGAGAGAAAGGAUAUUCAAAUUCCAGUUCUGACAACAUGAUUUUCUUUCCUGAACAACCAUGUUAUAUUUGAUCAAGAAAGAGUAGUGCAUGUGGCCAGGAUCAAGACAUACAUUAAUUUCCACAUGAUGAAGACAGUUUCUGAGAGUUUCUUCUAAAGCUCUUGCGCUAGUAGGCUUCAAGUCAAAAUUUCCCAUGUAAACACUGGAUUUUCUUUAAUUGCCACUAAGGAUACAGUUAAAAUUGACUUAAAAUCCUACGUGAUAUAUAUCUUUAACAAAAGUAUAUUGUAUAUAAUAUUUGAAAUAAUGUUGAUUCGUUGUGGAAAUAUGUUUGUAAGGAAAGUUGUUGACAAUUUAAUAUAGUAUAAGAAGAAAAAAGUUAUCAACUAGAGAUGAGUAUGUAAAGUGAGGCUCACGAUUCAACGCGUAAAUAUAAGAUAUUUUAAGGCUCAAUAGUUAUGAUAUCUAUUUUAUUUUUUGUAUCCCAUAUAUUCAAAGAUACAGUAAAAUGAUUUUAUAUAUAUGAACAUAGCCGAUAGUAUCAUGUUAAAACCUUAUAUGACUCUUUGUGCCAAUUGAUUUUUAUCUUUAUUUUGUGUAUUAGUAAUUAGUAUUAAAGUUUUUACUAACAUAAUAAUUGAUAUAAAAGCUUUUUCCAAAAGAGUCAAACAGAGCAAAACACUUAUUAUAAAAAGAAUUUUGAUUGAAGGUGGAGUCAAUUAUUCUUUAUUCAACAUGUGAUGCAUACAGCGGGUACUUCAUAACUAAAGUAUAUAAGUGCAACAUCUCUUAUACAUUCUCAUUCAAUCUCGAAAGUGGAAAAUUUUAAAAGAUUAAAUGGUUCAAAUUUUCCGUGCAUAAAGGGGAUCAUGUCACAUAACCAAACCAUGGCAUACCAAAGCCAUGAUAUGGACUAAGAAUUUUGUUAAAAUAAGUUUCUUAUUAGGGCACAUUAUGUGACUAUUUAUGACAUAUCAAAGGAGUCAAGUGCAUCAAUAAAGACAUAGAAAAUUCAUGCAUCACAUGUACCACUAAGAGAAAAUUGACUUGAUAGAGUUUAGUCCAAAUAGGAGAUUGUUAAAAGGUGCAUCAAAUUCUUGAUUGAUAUAUAUUUUUUUUAUUAGAAAGGUUAUUAUAUAGAUAUUUCAAUAGACUAUUAAUCCUUUGUAAAAAUAGUUAUAUAAUGAGGAUGGUGAUUAAAAAUAUCUCUAUCAAUAUUUUGGAUUAUAAAAAGAAAAAAAAUAUGAGAAAAUGAUAAACAUAUAAAACUUGUACAAGUAGAUAGAGAUGUGAUGAAAGACACUUGAUGAAUGGAGGCCUUGUAUUUCAAGAUGUAAAUAUAUGGAGCAAAACUCUUAAUUAUAUGAUCAAAUGAUUCUCUCAUAUUCAUGAACAUAAGCAGGAUUGGGGAACCAUGAUAGAAUCUUAUAUGCCUCUCCAUGUAGAUUGAUCGAUGUUUAUCUUCAUAUUUUACACCAAUGAAUGACAUUGAAACUCUGAUUGAUAAAAGGGAAAAAGCAUGGCCUCCACCACAAGAAAAACAAGUAACCUCGGUCUAAAUCACUAGUCUACACCCCGAAGAGAGAACUAGCCAAACCUACUAAAAGAGAAACUUACCAAUUUAGAAAGAAAUCUUCCAUGAUAAAGGGCCCCUAAAAGUCCAAUUCAGUCAGGUUGUGAACAAAAACACCUUCAUGUCAAAACAGGAAUAGGUACCACCAAAAUGUAAAGGGAAAGAUGUAAACCAAGUCGAACUUUGGUAAACAAUGGUAAAGAUAGCAUGAUAGCUAAAAGCACUAAAGCUGUGCUUGGUAUGCAAAAAUGAAAAGUGGAAAUCAGCGUCUUAUUCUUUUUCUCCUUUAUUCACAUAUUAGGAUAACUAAUAUCUAAUGUUUUUUUUAUGUCUCAAAUUCUAUUCCAUGUUAUGGUAAACUUUCAUCUUGUUUAAGUGGAAGAGUAGGAUCACUUUUGUCUGGUUUGGGCUCAAGACGAUAAGCCUAUAGAGACUUCAUAUUGGGUUGAAUUGAUGCCCUUGAUCCGAUCAGUUCGUUAGAAAAAUCUGAAUUAUUAUAAGCAUUUAGAUAAAAUAAAUAAAUAAAUGUGAAACAGAGACUAUUCUCUGCACAACCUUGACCCUAGUUACUCAGUUUCACUGCUCACGGGACUAACCUCUCCAUUCAGUCGAAAUGAAUUGUAAUUUCUUUACUGGUAGCAGUAGUACUUUUCAUAGCAAAGAUAAUAGUAAAUAUGAAAUAUAAAUAUAUAGAAGGAAAUCUGGAUUGUAGAUAGCACCAUAAGUAACACUCAAUAUUUACUACAUAAUAAAAGAGAUAGUGUUACAAAGGUAGAGAAACCUACAAUGAGUACUCAUCACCAUUCUCAAACAGAAACAUAGCAGUGACUUAUACAUAGAACCUAUAGGCUCGCAGGGAAAGAGUAACAUGAUAAGUGCACAGCGGGUAGCAGCUCUUAUUUUACGUAUUACUCAAAAUCUCAAACUAACCAAAGUCACUCAGUUGGGAUGGGUAGGAGAUGGUGGUUUGUGGGGUGGCUUCUGGGUAGGAGCUGGUGGCUUCUUUGUUGGAGUUGAAGGAGGCGUAAUCUUCUGAGGUGGCUUGUAUGAGUCUUUGGCACUCUCUGCAGGAGGGUGCCCAGGGUUGUGACCGGAAGGAGGUGGCUUCUGUCCCUUUGGUGGUUUGCCUAAUGGGCUUGGUGGCUUGUGCUCCGGGAGUUGUUUCUCUCCCUCGAGUAGGUUUCGAGUUUUGUCAGAUGGCUUGUGUUCUGGUGGUGGCUUCUCUCCCUGGGGUGGUUUGCCGAAUGGGCUUGGUGGCUUGUGUUCGGGGAGUGGCUUCUCUCCCUUGGCAGGUUCAGUUGGUGGCUGGUGCUCCGUAGGUGGUUUCUUCACCGCCGGCUUCUCUCCCUGGAGAAGGUUACGAGUUUUGUCAGAUGGCUUCUGUUCUGGUGGCGGCUUCUCUCCCUGGGGUGGUUUGCCAAAUGGGCUUGGUGGCUUGUGUUCGGGAACUGGCUUCUCUCCCUUGGCAGGUUCAGUUAGUGGCUGGUGUUCCGUAGGUGGUUUCUUCACCGGCGGCUUGUGCUCCGGAAGCGGCUUCUCUACCUGGAGAAGCUUACGAGUUUUGUCAGAUGGCUUGUGUUGUGGUGGUGGCUUCUCUCCCUGGGGUGGUUUGCCAAAUGGACUUGGUGGCUUGUGUUCGGGGAGUGGCUUCUCUCCAUUGGGAGGUUUAGUUGGUGGUUGGUGUUCCGUAGGUGGUUUCUGAAGUGGGGGAUGCUUGGGGUAGUCAGCAAGAGACGAGGUAGUGAGAACCACCAGUCCCAGCAGCAAUACUAGCAAGGAUGUGGAAGACAUCUUUGAGUUCAGGCUGAGAUUUGUGCAAGGCUAGAAGAAUUAGGUGGCCUUUUAUAGCGGGCUGGACCCAACAACCAAAUGACACGUAUCAUGAUACACAUAUGUGUUAUAAGAUCCUUGUGGGUCCUACAGAAGUUGAAAACUUUGACAAUUGAGGUGUGAUUACAACUUUUGUCCCUAUUGCUUUCUCGUCAGCCGUUUUGCAAGAUUUUUGACAGGAGGACGGUAGUUUAAAAUAAUAAUUUCUAAAGUACUUUUGUGAAAAAAAAUAAUUCCAAACGUGGAUUUUAUCAAGUAAAAAAAACAAAAAAAAGUUAUUUUCUUUUAAAAUCUUUUCUUCAUGAUUCAUAUACCAAAAAAAGAAUUGUUUUCUGUAGGUAAAAUUUUUAAAAUUCAUUUUUAAAAAAAAAAAAUUACACACUAAAAUUAUCUCUUCAAGAAAAUAUUUUUUAAAUUUUAAAUAAUUAUUAAUUUAUAAUUAAUUUUUUAUUAAUUAUUUAUUAAAUUUAUAUGUGAAAAAUGCAUUUAUAAAAAACAAAUUUUUUAUUAAUUUAUUAAAUAAUUAUUUACAAAAUAAAUAAUUUUGCUUUAUUUUAAUUUUAAAAUUAAUUUUAUUAUAUAAAUUUUAAAAUUAAAAAUAUUAAUAUUUAAUUUAAAAUUUAACUAUAAAAGGAAUAAAAUAUAGAAAAAUAAAUUAAUUUAUUAUUCAAUAAAUUAAUUUUCAAUAAAAUUUUCAGCAUUAAGAGAUAAAUUUUUAAGUAUUAAUCAAUUUAAAAAAUAAUAAUAAUCAUUUGUAUACUAAGAUAUUUUAUUUAGUAAUUAUGAAUGAUAAACAACUAAAGUAAUUUGAAAAAAUAAUAAAAUAUUUAAAAAUAAUAAUUUAAUACACUUAAAAUUAGAAAUGAUUAACUAUUUUUUAUUAAGAAAAAAUUGAAGAAAUAUUUUGUUAUUUAAAAUUUUUUAUUUGUUUUCAAUUUUAAAUGUUAUAGGUUUCAAGAAAAUUGAUCAAAUAAAAAUUAAGAAGUCAUUUUUUCAAAAACUAUAUAUCUAAAUAAAAGCCUUGAAAUUCAAAUACACAAUAUCAUAAAUAUAAACACCAAGUCAAUCCUUAAUUAUCAAAUGUUUUUAAUAUUAAAGAAUCAAAAUCACCUACUAUCAUGAUAAUAAGAAAACCAAUAAUAUUGUUCAUAUAAAUACUAAAAAGCUAACAAAUAUCCCAAACAAUUAAUAAAGUAUCAAACAUGAUAAAAAGUCAAUUAUUAUCAUGAAUGCAAAAAAUCAAUAAUUUUGUUUAUAUGAACCAUCAACAAAGAAAAAAAAAAUCAAUAUCUAAAUAUUAAACAUAAUUUAUAUUUUUAUAAAUAUUAUUGUUGAUAAAUAUCUUAAUAAUUAUAAUUUUUUAUAUAUUAAAUUUAGUAAAUAAAAUUAAUUAAUUUUAUAAUAUAAGAUAUAUAUAAUAAUUAAGAGACUAUUUGUCCCAAACAAUUUAUUUAUUUUUUUUUUAGGAAAUUGUCUCUUCAAGAGACGACUUCUCCCAACAUUUUUAAAAAAAAAAAAAAAAACAUCUAUUCAAAAGACGAUUUCUCCUCAUUUUUUAAAAAUGAAUUUUAGAAAUCAUAUUUUCAAAAAUGAAUUUUAGAAAUCAUAUUUUCAAAAGACGAUUUUUUUUUAUAUAAAUUAUUUUUUAAAAUGACGAUUUUAAAAGGAAAUAACGAUCUCUCUCCUACUUGGCAAAAACUAUGGUAAAUUUGGAAUUAUUUCUUCCACAACCAUAGUUUAAGAAUUAUUUUUUUAUACUUUCGUAGACUUAUCAAAAAUCCCUAUUUUGCAUGUCUCAUUUGGCAUGACUUUCUUACCUAAACAAGCAUAUAUAUAUAUAUAUAUAUAUAUAUCACUUUUGUCUGGGUUGAGUCAAUGCCCUUAACUAAUUUGUUCAUUUGAAUAGUCUAAAUUAUUAUAAGCUUUUAGUUAAGAAAAAUGUGAAACAUAAAUUACACCUCUCGGCACAACUUCGACACUGGUUACUCUGUUUCAGUUUAUUCACACAAGAUUAUUGGUUCUAGGGUUUAUUUGGUUUUGGUUUGAUUCUAAUUGCUAAACUUUCUCAAGGAAGAUGUUAUAUAGGGAGUGAGAAACCUUCACUCCUGGCUACCUCCAAGAGAAGAGCAAGUGGUCUGAAUCAAAGAUAUACUGCUCACUUUUUCUUCUUCUAAGGACAGCUAUGACCUUGCUUUAAAAUGUUCGAAUAGCCUAAUGCAACCUCCCAUUUCUCAAGUCAGCUGAUGAUGUAAGUCACCUUGGCUUUCCACAUUCAUACGGUGAGGACGUUUGUGGGUGUAAUUCUCUUAACAGUUUUCAUUUUAUAUGGAAAAAUUCAUAAUUAAGGGUAAUUACUGAUUCCAUUUGACAGUGACCAAGUUUAAAAUAUUAACUCAUGUAUUAAAUGCACAUUAAAAAAUCAUGGAAUAAAUAUAUUUACUAAUAUAUAGUUCUUUUGUCAUGUUCUGUCACAGAAGCAUCGAACUUUCCCUAGAAAUUUUUGCAUGGUAUUCUGCUUAUGAUUUUGAAAACUCUAGGCACCUAAGGCCACUGAUUGCAUGGUUGGAUGAGGAGCUGCAUGAGAUUAUGUAUCCUGUUGCUCCUUAACUACAAAUAUCAGUUUUAAGUAGCAUCUCCAUGUGACAUUUUCCUGAUGCAAUUUCGCUGUCCACCAACAAAUGUCUCCAUGCAGCUAGAUGAAUUGUAAUUUCUUUGUUGUUAUCAACAGCUUUAAUUAAUCUUGAUAUAUAUAUAACUUAGUAGAAGUAAUUAAUCUAGAUUGUAGUUGCACUAAGAUAAUAGGCAAUAUUAUAACAGUGCCACAAUGCUCAUCGCCAAAUAGAAAGGUAGAAAAACUACAAUGAGUAACUCACACAACAUUCUCAAACAGGACAUAGCGGCGACUGAUACAUAGAACACUAUUGGCACUCAGGAAAUGAUAAGAUCAGUGCCCAGCAGGCAGCACGUCUUAUUUUACAUACUACUUAAAACUAACCAAAGUCAUUCAGUUGGGAUGGGUGGGAGAUGGUGGUUUGUGCGGUGGCUUCUUUCCUGGAACUGGUGGUUUUUUUGUUGGAGUUGAAGGAGGCUUAAUCGUCUGAGGUGGCUUGUAUGAGUCUUCAGCACUCUCUGCAAGAGGGUGCCCAGGGUUGUGACCAUAAUGAGGUGGCUUCUCUCCCUUAGGUGGUUUGCCAAGUGGGCUGGCUGGCUUGUGCUCCGGGAGCGGCUUCUCUCCCUUAGGUGGUUUGCCAAAUGGGCUUGCUGGCUUGUGCUCUGGGAGCGGCUUCUCUCCCCCAAGAAGUUUGCGGGUUUUGUCAGAUGGCUUGUGUUCUGGUGGUGGCUUCUCUCCUUGGGGUGGUUUGCCAAAUGGACUUGGUGGCUUGUGUUCGGGGAGUGGCUCCUCUCCCUUGGGAGGUUUAGUUGGUGGCUGGUGUUCCGUAG